CAGGUGCGUCUACAGUUAGCAUUUCUAAGUUCUCUAUUGCCAUUCAGAUGGAUUCAUCGGUUGUGACUCUUUCAAGCCAGUGCCUUGAGUGAUUAGCUGGAAAUUUUGAAAGUUUCAUGUUCUGAGCAUAGAGAAGCGCAACCAUGCAUCUUGAUCAUUUAUCAGAGGCUUUGUGAACCUAGAAAGUACCCUGUUUUUCUAGGGAAGCACAAGUAUGAGAUGGAACAAUUAGUGUUACUAAUUAAUUUCCUGUUACUUGAAAGAUAUCUUAGUGUGCUUCUAUUUCUAUUUGAACUACUAAAUGUUUGCAUGUAAACUCAUUAUAUAUCUGGUGUUGGUUUAUAGCUCGCAAUGACAUUACAUUGACAAUGUGAACUGACUGGUGAAUUUUGAUGUGAUAGCGUAAUAGGCUUUCCUAUUUUAUCGAAUUGAUGGAGAUGCUGAAUGCUCAUUCAAGGCCAAAGGUUAGCAAUUAUCUGCUUUGUUCGUAGCUUUUAGAUUCAUUAAUUCUUUUGCUCUCUCCAAAUAGUCAUAUGGGUCUAUGUCUAGUUGCCUCAAAGAUAUUAUAACUUGUACCAUUCAUCACCUUGACUUUCAAAGGCUUCUUCUAAUUUAUGGUCACUUGUUCUUUGCCAUUUACUCUCUCGUUUUGUUAAGUGAACACUUUAUGUGAAAUGGUCUAACUGCUAAAUGCAUUGAUACAAUAGAAAGAAAAAGAAGCUAGAAACUUAUUUGGUUCUUUAGCUGUUGUACUUCGUCAGCAGCCAAUAAUCUUUGGAUUCUUCCUUCUGGUAGAACAUGAAACGUUUUAUUGAUUGAUUAUGCUUUUACCAUCUAUCUCCAAUGAGCUCAGGAUUGAGGCCUUGUUAUUCUCAAAGGUUACUCAAUAUUGAAAUUUCUGCUCUAUUUCAAUGUGCAGAACUGGUUGGAGUUGCUUCCAGGAAAAUGGCGUCUAUUAUACUGUACGGGGAGACAAAUAGGAUUGACCCUUCGUCAGCCUUCUGCUCGUGUCCUGAUUGGUGAUGUUUAUCUAACUAUAAAUAGAGCAUCAAAACUAAAUACUAGUAUUUCCUUCACAUCGGACAUUGGCUUCACGGUCAUGAAUGGUCGAGACUGGCCUCAUGACAAAAGUGGUAUAACUGGGAAAUUGGAAGUAAACUCUUUAUUCCGGUUGACAUCCGGGAGACGGUUGUAUCUGAAGGAGGAAAAGACAUCAGAGAAGCUAUCAUUUGGGCAACCAAACAAUCAAGAUUCUUUAGCCCAGAAAUUGUCAGCUAAAAAAUGGAGGAAGCUUGUCCCGCAUAAGGAGUUUCCAUCGAGCCUUCCAGUGGCCAAACUUGUUUCAGCUGACAUUGAGGUGACAAUGAGUCUCGGGGACAACCUUAAUCAAAAUGAUGUUACACCAAGCAACAUAGUUCAUGAACUUCGCGUGCAAGUUCCACCUGAGAUGUUUGAUUUGUCUAGGCUCGUCUGUGGAACAUAUGUGGACUCCAGACUGCUAGUCCUUCGCGGGGUCAAUGGAUCAGCUCUCUUAUUUACAAGAUCUAUGUGUUGAUGAAACCUGUAGAUAGCCAUUGCGCGCAAGUACUGUAGAUAGAAAUUGCUGUUGGGAGUGUAAUUAGCUGUUGUGUUCUUGCUCGUGUAAUUUGUACAGUCGAUUAAUCGAAGAAGAUCAACCUUUUCCAAAUGCGCGGCUUGAUAUCGAGUGGCUUGUCAAAUGUUGCAUUGUUAUAAAGCUUUAUUUGAAAAAUGAUUCUAAAUGGCUUGUUGCAUUGAUAUCUGAGUGUAAUUAUAUCCUAAAUGUCAUGUAGUCCUUAUUUCACUUGUGAUAAUGGCUUUGUUAGCCAUGAAUGAUUAUAGCUGUUAAACUCUACCUGGCUUUGUUGAUUGAUUCUGAAAAUUCAAGGCAUGGAUUAGGGCUGGUUUUUUUUUAAUUGAAUAUUUUUACGGACAAAUCAUUUCAAUGUGACCGGAAUUUUAGUGACCUGUUGGAGCUAAUCGGAUCAAUAAUAAAUAAAAAAAAGCAACAUUAUUUUAAUGAAAAAAUUGACCCGGUGUUCCAAUUUUGGAUGAAAAAACUAACAGCAUCUCAUCACCCGGAUGUGAAGUAUCAGAUCAUCACAAGGAGAAUCAGAAGACUAUUUUUGUAAAAACUUUAAUGUCAUAAAAAUAUGCAUGUGGUAGGGCCCGGGGGUGGACUUGGUCUUCUUUUUUGUUUUGUAGGCGCCCACCAUUCUCAUCAUCACCGUGACCAUAGCGCCAUUGUAGCCAAUAAAGAAAAGAACCGCACGAGUGCCGUUUUUAUAGUUUUGUGACGAGGAUUCCCUGAUCGAACCAAAAAGCCUCCUCGUCACCAAUUAAUGCUCUAUGAUUUUAUCAAACCCACUUUGAUAUCAUAAUUUUAAACAUGAAAUAAUACCUCUUAUAGAGCCAAUCACGCAACGGAUUUAAGCCAACAUCGUUACUUUCUUUCGUCAAGAUGCCGAAUAUGCAGAAUAAUUCUCGUUUCAUAUGCAAGAGCGCGAUCACAUAUACCGCAUUACUACGACGACGUACCCUUGCAUGAGAAGUGGCCUCGCGAGCUACCUAUAUAUUGCGUUAUUCAGAGAUCAAUAAUUCCAUAUUAUUGAAAGAAAGGUGCAAAAGGAACAUCUUGAGAGACCUUAGCAGAUGGGAUGGCUUUUGAAAGUUAAACAUACUAAUUGCAGAAGCAGCACACAUAUAUGAGAAUUCAAGAAACUUGAAACUCACCCAACUUAGAAAUCUAACAUGUUCCUUAAUUAAGGGGGAAACAUGGCUCCAUUUCAUUCACUAUUAUUUUGCUAGCUUGACUUACAGAGCUAUUAAUUAGGGAAAUGGAUUAGAUCCGUGCAUAGCCAAAUGUAGCACCAAAGAUCUUGAUUGCCUUUUCAGCACGAACCUUGUAAGAGAUUGUUGCAGUAGCUCGGUUCUUAUGUUUAAUAAACCUGACCUUGUCACCAACUUGUAGCUUCUUGCUCUUAACAAAUGCAACCCAACCUCUUGUGAGGUCUGGCUUCGGGUACUGUCCUGUCUUGCGGAUGGAGCAUUGAAAGGUCCAAGCUUUGCCUUUCUCGUCUGUAGCUUCAAACGUGACGGCAUGGCUGCCUAGUUUGAAAGGUGGAAGAGACCUGAGAAAUCUGAUAGGAACUGACAGCCUCUUCUUAGUAUCAGUCUUUCCGAGGAUCUUCCAGAAGUUUGCCAUUUUCGAGGACAAGCAAAAGAGAAGCAAAUGAAAUGAGUUUCUUCUUGCUUGUGGGAGCUUUCCAUUUCCUUGUUUAUAAUAGCAUCGGGUAUGCGAAAACCUAAAUAUUAAAAAAUAUUAUUUUAAUUAUUUUAUGAUUAUUUUGCACACAAGUCUAAAGGAGAUGAUAAAGAAAAUAUCUUUUCUUUUCUAUAAAUAGUAUUCGUACAUUUUUUUUUUAAAUCAAAACAAGUAAAGUAAAGUGAGAAUAUUAAAAAAUAAAUCAAUUAAAUAUAGCUAUAUAUAUAAAAAAUAACGUCCAAUUUAUUAAAAAAUAAUAAAAUAUUUAAUUUUUUCACUUUAAUAUAAUUAGAUCUUCAAAUAGUUUAUUUUAUUAAAAUAAAUAUAAUAAAAAAAUUAUAUUUAUAUUAUUUAAAAUAUUAUUUUAUCAAUCUAGCUAUUCAAAAUAUCUUUCAAUUUGAGAAGCUGUAAGUAACCACCAGGACCUCCCUCCGCUUCAAUUAAAGUAAAGGUAGUUACGUAAAGAGCUAGCAUGAUUUAUCCACCGCGCGAUAUCGCGCGAUAGCGCGUAUAAUGUUAUAUAUAUAUAAUGUUAAUCGUGCGAUCUCGGUAGAUGGCAAGGACAAAAAACAAUGCUAGAAGUGACAGACAAGAAUGUUAUAUAUAUUCAGAUAAAAAAAGAUCAAAAGAAGAAUGAUAUACAUAUAUAUUGUAAGGUAAGAAAAAAAGAAAAAAUAAAUCCAUGUCUGGUGCUAGCUCCAAGCGAGGCAAUCCCUACGUUGUCAAGACUCUGAAGUCUGAAUUGAUGUGACCAUUAAAUAAUAAAAAAUAAUAAUAAAACAUGGAAUUUUAACCAAAAAUCAAUUACGCAAUUUACUUCAUGAGGUUUCUCCCGGUGGUGUCUUGAGCAUUGAAGAUAUUUGUGAUAGCUCUUUUUUUUUUUAAUUAUAAAGAAAAAGAUUAUUUGAUAAGGUUAAUAGUUUUUUUUUUAUACUAUUGCCCAUGUAUAAUUAUGUUUCAAAUUUUAAUUUUAUAAAAUUUAGAAUAAUCUUUUCUAUUUACUUUACAUAAAAAAUUCAUCCCACAGUAAUUAUAUACACACACUGUUUAAUGAUAAAAUUUAGAUGAAUUGCCAUUUCUUGCACUAAUAGAUGCUAAGCGGGUGGAGCCAAUUUUUGCUUUUUACAUAGAAAAGCAAGUGAAAUGUUGUUAUUUAUGUAAUUAAGUUACAUAAAAUGUUUUGAUUUUACGAAGUUAUUCGAUGCGGUGAUAAAUCAGCAUGUUAUUUACCUAAAAACCAUGUUCAAGUUAAGGAAAUAAAGGUAAGGUGAUAUCCUAAUGUAAUUAAAUAUAUCUAAGUACUGAGCUUAAGUAUAUAUGAGUUUGAUAAAUUACUAGAUCUAAUAUUUUUAAAUUUAAUCAAGCAUUGAGUUCAAGCAUAUAUAAAUUUGAAAAGCUAUCAAACCUAACAUCUUUUUAAGUUCAUGUAUAGAUGGGUCUGAUAAGUUAUCUAACCCAGUAUUUUUGAGCUUAACCAAGCAUUGAACCCAAAUAUAUAGGUCGGUGUGGUGAGCUACAAGACUUUAGCAUUUUUAGGUUUAGUCAAGUAUUGAGCCCAAAUAUAUAUUAGUUUGGCUAGCUACUUGACUAAGCAUCUUUAGAUUUAGCCAAACGCUGAGCCUAGACAUGUAUAAAUCAAUCUAGAGAUCUACCAGACUCAACAUCUUUGAGUUCAAUCAAAUAUUGAGCCUAAACAUACAUGGAUCUAACGAACUACAAGAUUCAACAUCAUUGGAACCAGCCAAGCGUUGAACCUAAAAACAUGUGGCUCUAAUAAUCUUAUCAUGCUCCAUAUUGAACCACAAGAUUUGAUGAGUCAGAGAUCUUUUUUCCUGUGAUAAGUUAAAAAUCUUUCUUCUGUGAUGAGGUAGAAAUUUUGUUUUCCUCUUGAAUACAUAAAAGAUAUUUUAACACUAUCAGAAAAAGAGGACUUUGGGGGUCCUCCCCUCGAUAAAAAAAAAAAAAAUCAUGGACUCUAAUAGAUACUGGCAUUUUCUCUAAAAAAAGAUACUUAAACAUCAGAGAGUCGCUAAAUUUACAAAAAGAGACCUAUUAUAGGCAUCAAUCACCAACCACUUUGGCUUACCAGGCACUAGGUAUCGGCUAUUAGCCACCUUGACUGAUAAAUAAUCAACUCGAUAUAAUCAAGAGAUUAACUGAUUAUUCGACACAUAAAUCUUAUUUCUAAGCUACUCUUGUUAAUUGACAUUGCUGAUGAAAACUGAUAAGAACCAUCGACUAUUCUUCAAAAACUAGUUUAUUAAAUAGAUGUCAUGACUGCGCGAUGCCGCGGGCUUGUGUGUUGUCGUGGGUUUGUGAAAAAAAAUUAUAAAAAUUAUAUGGAGAAAAACUGUUGCAAUCCAUAAUGUUUUCAAGAAAAAACUACAAAGCUAAAUUCUUAACUAAAUUAAUAUUUAAAAAAUAAAAUGAACAAAGAAAAUUUUGAAAAAAAUCAUAAAAAAACCUGAAGGAAAAAAAAACCAUACAGGGAAAUACUGUAGCAAUCUAUAGUGUUUCGUGAGGAAAUCUAUAGCUGUAAUUCUCAACCAGCUCAAUAUUAAAAAUAAUAAAAUCGAUAAAGAGAAUUUUUUAAAAAAAUCAUAACAAAAAAAAGCAUGUGGGGGAACACUGUAGCAAUCUACGGUGUUUUAAAGAAAAAACUACGAAGCUAAAUUCUCAACUAGCUCAAUAUGAAAAAAAGAAAAAACGACAGACAAUUUUGGAAAAAAAAAACCAUGUGGAAAAACACUGUAGCAAUCCAUAGUGUUUUAAAGAGAAAAAACUAUAAAGCUAAAAUUUCAACCAGCUCCAUAUUAAAAAAAUAAAAUCAACAAAAAUAAUUCUGAAAAAAAAAACACAAAAAUAUGAAAAAAAAAGAAGACAAUUUUGGAAAAAAAAAGAAAAAAAAAGGAAAAAAAAACAUGUAGGGAAAUCUAUAGUUGUAAUUCUCAACCAGCUCAAUAUUAUAAAAAAAUUCAACAAAGAUAAUUUAAAAAAAAAACAUAUGGGGAAACACUAUAGCAAAACAAAAACCAUGUGAGGAAACAUUGUAACAAUCCACAGUGUUUUUUUUAAAAAAAACUAUGACGCAAAAUCGACAAAGACCAUUUUGAAAUAAAAAAAAGAAAAAAAAUUCAUAAAAAAAAGGUCAUGUAGGGAAACAUUGUAGUAAUUCAUAAUGUUUUUUUUUUAAAAUAUAAUUAAAUUUCAACCAGUUUAAUAUUAAAAAAAUCAAUAAAGAUAAUUUUAAAAAAAUACACAAAAACAAAAAGGAAUAAAAAAAGAAGAAGACAAUCUUGGAAAAAAAAGAAAAAAAAACUAAAGCCCCAAAAAAAAGGGAAAAAAGGAAAAAAAAUGUGGGAAAAAAGAAAAAAAAGAAAGGCAAAACAAAAAAAAAUGAACAAACAAAAAAAAAAGAAAAAAAAAGCAUGUGGUUGGUAAAAAAUUAUAGUAUUUUCCCCGUACCUUUUAAAGUAUUAUUUAAUAUCUCUAAUUACCAUUAAAAAUUAAAAUAAAAAAUAUAAACUAAAACACCCCACCAGGAGGACAUAUGAUGGGCCUUUCUACAGUUGUUGAUAUAUCUGUUAUGUCAAAAAUCCAAUAACUCUUCGAAGGGAGUAACUACCACCCUUUAGGACAAAGCGCUUUUGGAAAAAGAGAAAUCAAUUUCCAUAACUAGCACAAAGCGCUGUUGACUUCCCCUUGCCCAUAAAAUUUCCACCAGAUCUGUUCUUCAAUUGGAAAAAGAGAAAUCAAUUUAGGUUUUCUUAGGAGAGAGAAAUUAUGUUUGAAGAGAGAUUUGUAGUGUUUGUAUUAUAUUAUACACGAGGAAAAAUUUAUAUUUUCAUUUAAAUUUAAAAAUUAUAUUUACCUAGAAUUAUAAUUAUAAAUAAAAACUGGAGUAAAAAAUAUGAAUAAUAAGAAUAAUUUUUUCAUUAAUAUAUAUAUAUAUAUAUAUAUAUUAACAUAACUAAAAAAUCAAUUCAAUCUCGAGUAAAAUAAAAGAAAAGAGUCGAGCUAUAAAUUACGAAUUUUUCAAAUUGAAUUCAUCAGACACAGGGGCGGAGCAGGGAUUAGUUAAUAGAGAGGUCAAAAUAUAAUUUAUUAUUAGAAAAUUUAUUUAUUUAAAAUAAAAAAAAUACUAUAUUAUUUUAUAAAUAAACACUAAAUAAAUAAAAAAUCUAAAAUAUUUUGCAGGGCCCGGGCCUGCUUGCCUCCCCCGGUUCCGCCCCUGAAUUUCGACAUUACCGGUUUAACAACCUUGAGCAUAACAAUCUAUAAUAAUAGAAUUAUUUUUUUUUAGCUCCAAAACAAAAACGUGGGAAACAACUAAAAGUGACGUGGCAGAGAUAGGAGUGUGCAACGUACGCAAAACACAAAAAAUAGCAGGAGGUGAAAAGUAGGAGAUAUUCGGAAAAACAGAAGUUGACACUAGCCAAGCCCAGGGCUCCGGAUUCCUGCACGCGUCUCUCACUCUGUUCUCUGUUUCUUCACACUUUCCUCUCCAUCCUUCUGCUAACUAACUCCUCUCUUAAUUAAAAAAAAUAAAAUUCUUAGAGUUGUAACGGAUUGAUCAACUGAUGGCGGCGACGGCGGCAAUAAAUGGAGUCGGAUUCUGCUCCUUUUCUGAUAAUUUGUCGACGAUGAAACUGAUUAAACGACGUAGUAAUGGUAUUAUCAUCGGUGCGAGAAGCAGUUCUUCUAGGAGAGAAGUAGGGACGGUGCUGGGGUGUUCGUCGCCGAGUAAGGCCGUGGCUCCGUUGGAAUCGGAAGGAGAUGUGUGAUUGAGGAGCAGGAGGAUGAGAUGUUAUGAGGUUCAAGAUGUCUGAUUUUUAAGGUGCUUGAUCGUGUCAGUAUUGGCCUUGGUGGCCGGGUAAGCCAGAAAACUCUACUUCAAUUUUUUUUUUUUAAUCUUUAUCUGUUAAAUAUUGUUAAUUUCGUUGUGAUUUUCGGUUAUUAACACUAAGGAUAGUGUUUAAUGUCCAAAAGUGAUUGUUCUUAGCACUGCUAAUUAUGCCAUGGAUAACUGAAUUGGGGUUUUUCUAGGCGGAUUGGUUUUUGAAGCAAUAGUGAAGGAUUCUAAUAGGUUAGCUUUCUUUUCUUAUUUGAUUUUUUGAUAUUGUGUGAUUAUUGGAGGUGAUGAGUAUAAUGUGGAAUUGCAGCCCUUUGUAUAACAUUAAAGUUGUGCUUAGGAAACUUGUCAGUACUCAAGCAAAACGUAGAGGAAUGCGAGCAAUAGAGGUUUGGGGCUUUGUUUUGGAGUUUUGUUUAUUUGGUAUUUGAGGUUUUGAAUAUUGGUGUAACUUUGGUGUUGUUAAAGUGUUUUUAGGUGUUGAAGAAGCUGGUUCGCCGUAAACUUAUGUACCAUUCUUAUUCGAUGCAAUUUCAUGGUUAUAUUUCUUCACCUUCUAGUGGCCGUGGUUCGUUUACUCUGGCACAUUGGGUAUGUUCUGUUUCUGUGUAAGGUUUUGAUAUUGCGUGUGCAUUAAAUGUUUCGUUGUGUGAAGCCAUUUAGUUAUUUAUGCUAGGUAGGUUAGUCUUUCUAGGACACCCCUGUUGGAGAUUUUCUGUUUUUAUUGGACAAACCUUCAUUUCUCUGCAUGUUGCGUGUGGAUGCAGUUCUUCCCAUGUUUCAAUUUUUCCAUUUGUGAGUUUAGGGAUGUGAAAGUUUACGUCUUCCUUUUUAUUUUAUGGCAGUAUCAUGGUAGUUUUUCUUUGAGACAUUGGCUUCAACAAUCAGAUUGGCUUCCUACCUUGGAAGCCAAUCUUGCAUUGGAUGAGGAAUCUGUCAGGAGGGUGGGAGAUGACACGGUUGGAGGACCUGCUGUCUCUCGGCAGUUGCGAAUAACAUGCAUAUUGAUGAGGGAUCUAUUGAUUGGUAAUUGUAUUAUCUGUGCACAAAUAGUUGCCAUUUGUUGUGCACAACUAAAGUGUAAGGUGUUUGUUUUGCUUACUUAAGGUGAACUACUUGCAGAGUCAUGGACUUUCGGAUAUAGAGUUGAGGCUGGAGAAUGUGCAUAUAAGCCCAGAGGAUAGGCAUAUUAAAGUAAAUGCAAGCUUUCCCCCCUCUUAUGGCUGUUUUUUUAAUUUUAGAUUCUCUGAAUUUAGAAUUAAAUUUGAUAUAUAUAGAAUAAGGAAAGAAAUUCUUUAAGGAGAAGGGCGUUUGAGGAAAACUCUUGUUGAUUUGUGCUUUCUGAUACAACACUUGAUGCACAACAUUUCAGUUUAUCUAUUGAAGUCAAAUUUUAUUUCUGGUAUUCUGCUUUGAAAGUUUGGUACCUCUUCAACAGCAUUGAAUAACGGUAAAUUUUUGUGGUUCUAGAAUUCUGGUUGAGGAAAGGUUUAUAAGCACAAAUAUUGAGGAACGAAACAAGACAUGAAUAAAUCAGCACCAUUGAAUUAGUGCACCUCCCACACAUGAUUGCAUUUGACAUGAGGUAUGAAUAGAUAGAUAGACCUAAUAGUGUAUCCAGUUAGCGCUGCUAGCAGAGCUACUGAUGUCCUGUAGAUAGCAAUUGCGUACAAAAUGCAGAUAGAAAUUGCUGUUGGGAGUGUAAGUAGCUGUUGUGUUCUUGCUCGUGUAAUUUUUACACUCGAUUAAUUGAAGAUCAACCUUUUCAUGGCUUGUCAAAUGUUGCAGUGUUAUAAAGCUUGAUUCGAAAAAUGAUUCUAAACCUUAAUAAGAAGACAGCCAGAGGUAGUCAAGAUGAUACCAAACAGACUAUAAAACCAUCAGCUUCUGCUUUGGUACGUUCAUGCUCAAUCGUUUUUGCAGCCACGAGCCAUUCUCUAGAUUCCGACCGACCUAAAAUGAUGCUAUGGCUAUAUAUUACCAGUCAUGUCAAUCCAGUUAUAACCAGAGCGUCAAAGAUUAAAUGUCAUGUAGUCUUUAUUUCACUUGUGAUGUGAAGUAUCAAAUGAUUCAAAUCAUCGCAAUGAGAAUCAUAAGAUUAUUUUUGUAAAAACUUUAAUAUCAUUACAUCUGAUGGAAAUAUAUCUUUUAAGAGUCUAGGGCCGAGAUGUAAUUAUGCACGUGGUAGGGCCCGAGGGUGGAUUUGUUUUGCGGGCGCCCACCAUUCUCACCAUCACCUUGACUCUAGCGCCAGUGUAAGAAAUGAACCGCAAGAGCGCCGUUGUUUUGUGGACGAGGAUUCCCUGAUCGAACCAACAUUAAUGCUCUAUGAUUAUAUCAAUAUUCUACGACGAUAGGAAGUCGAGGAGGAUUCAGGUAAUUUAUAAACCCUAGCUAUAUAUUAUCUCUCUAUUUCAAGAGGUGUAAUUUCAAGAUGAUCAAACCCCCACUUUGAUAUCAUAAUUUUAAACAUGAAAUAACACCUCUUGUAGAGCCAAUCACGCAACGGAUUUAAGCCAACAUCGUUACUUUUUUUCGUCAAGAUGCCGAAUAUGCAAAACAAUUCACAUUUCAUAUGCAAGAGCUACCUAUUGCGUUAUUCAGAGAUCAGUAAUUCCAUAUUCUUGAAAGAAAGGUGCAAAAGGAACAUCUUGAGGGCAUACUCAAGAAUGUUUUGAGAGGUAACAUCCAUGUCUAGUGCUCGCUAAAUGAAGCAGAAUAAAGUCGCUCAUUUCCCCUUCUCCUCCUCUCGCUUGUAGCAAGUCUAAAAGAAUAAAUUCGCCCCUGGUAACGUUCCAGCCUUCUAUUAGAUACCUUGGCCAAAGAGGAGUCAGAUUAAUAGAAUUAAAAGAUUAAUUGAUUAUCCAGCAUAUAAAUUUUAUUUUUAAUUAAGCUACUUAAUUUUUUAGAAUCUCAUUAAUUGACGUUAUCUGUGAAAAUUGAUAAAAAAGCCUUCGUCUAUUAUUCGACAACUAAUUUUUAUUUUUUGGUAACCCGGGAUGUCCGGGCCAGCUUGCGCGUACCACAACUAAUCCCCGGACUUACUGAUCAUCCUGCAAGCCCAGUGAACAUGUAAGGCACCGCGGGGGUGACAGACGUACACAAGUGGGGCUUGAACCCUGGUGUGGAGGAAGGGAACAAGUCCCUUCAACCACUAGGCCACAACCCCAUGUGUUCGACAACUAAUUUAUUGACAUCCCUAAUCAUUGUUAAAAUAAAAAAAAUCAAAACACUCCCGAAAUGAAACAUAUCAUAAUCUUUCUAUAGUUGGUGACACAUUGGAGCUCCAGCAAGUAACUAUCACCCUUUUUAUUCUGCUUCUUCUUUCUUGGACCACCCAAUCCAACAAACUAAAAUAGAGUGCAUCAAACUUAAGGGUGAGAGAGGGUUCCAAGUUCAUAUCUCCAUUUGCCACAUCCUCCCUCUCCUAAAUUAACACGAUACCCCACGGUCAAUCAACAUCAUCAACACAGAGUGAAAAUUUCAAUCCACAGGCUACCCAUGAACCAGUUCUUAACCGUACACUUGGCUGCAUUUAAGAUCAAGAAGGUAAAAAAAUCCAAAUAACUAGCACAAAAGCUUUUGGGUUGUUUGCUUCCCCUUGCCAAUAAAAUUUUCAAUUUAGGGUUUUCUUAGGAGAGAGAAAUUAAGUUUGAAGACAGAUUUGUAGUGUUUGCAUGUACGAGGAAAAAAUUAUAUUUACCAAGAAUGUAAAUUUUUAAUUUUUAAAAACUUGAGUCAAAGUGAAAAAGAUAUGGAUAAUGAGAAUACUUUUUUCAUUAAUUUUUGUUUUAUAUACAUGUAUUUAAUAGAGUGAGUACAUAACUAAUAAGUCAAUUCAAUCUCGAGUAAAAAUAAAAAAGAACCGAGCUAUAAAUUACGAAUUUUUCAACUGAAUUCAUUAGACAUUCCGGGUUUAACAUCCCUGAGGAUAACAAUAUAUAAUAAUAUAAUUAUCUUCUUAGCUCCAAAACAAAAACGUGGGAAACAACGAAGAGUGACGUGGCGGGGAAAGGAGGGUGAACCGUACGCAAAACACAAAAAAUAACAGGAGGUGAAAAGUACGAGAUAUUCGGAAAAACAGAAGUUGACACGAGCCAGGCCCAGGGCUCCGGAUUCCUUCACGCAUCUCUCACUCUCUUCUCUAUUUCUUCACACUUUCCUCUCCUUCCUUCCGCAAACUAACUCCUCUCUGAAUCAAAAAAUAUUCUUAGAGUUGUAACGGAUUGAUCGAUUGACGGCGGCGACAGCGACGGCGGCCGCAAUACAUGGAGUCGGAUUCUGUUCUCUUUCUGAUAAUUUGUCGACGAUGAAACUGUAAGAUACCACUCAGUAACAAUAAUUAAAUAGCUACUUCGAGGGAGCUAAAUCCUCCUGAUACUCUGUUUUUGCUGAAAUUAUACUCCCAUUCUUAUUAAUUCUCAUAACUUAAAUAGUAAAACAAUUACUGAAAUUAAACGACGAUUAACAACCCAUAAUUAAUACUAUUCUAUAACGGAAGUAACUUCCAAUUAAUUAUUUCAUAACAGUUCUUUUUCCUCAAGACCCACAAUCAAGUCAUCCUCCUUCAUCAAAGUUAAUAAUGAUUGUGUAACCGAAGGCCACGUCCUAACAGUCCCAUGACAAUCCCUCCUCCAUCAAAAGACCUUGCCCUCAAGGUCAGGGAAGUCUCUUUGCAGCUUAUGAAAUUCAACUCAGGAGGCGUCAUUGACUUCCAUCCAUUUCCAUUUAACCAACAGCUCGCUGACAGCCCGCUCAUUCUUCUUUUUGAGACGUCGCUGUAAAAUUUCUUCAGGCUCUGCUUGUGGACCACCUCCAACAGUUAAUGGAGGAAUAGUAGUCGCCAGCAUAUUUCGAGCACCAAGCUUUUUCUUCAAAACUGAAACAUGAAACACGGGGUGAAGGAGGGAGGUGGAGGGAAGGUUCAAACGAUAAGCAACACCACCAAUCCGUUCUAUUAUCUGAUAAGGUCCAUAAAAUCUGGGAGAAAGCUUGAGAUUUUUGCGCUGCACAACUGAAUGUUGUUUAUAUGGUUGUAGACGAAGGAAGACCCAGUCUCCUACUUCAAAAUGUCGUUCAGUACGUUUUAAAUCUGCAAAAUGCUUCAUCCUCUCUUGAGCCACCUGUAGGUUCCCACGUAAUAGGCGCAAGAUCUGAUCACGGCUCUUCAGAGUGUCUUCCACAGACUGAACUGCAGCUGUCCCUGGCGAAUGAGCCAACAAAGGUGGGGGUGGGUAUCCGUAAACUACCUCAAAUGGUGAGAGUUUAGUAGAAGCAUGAAUGUUGGUAUUAUACCACCAUUCUGCAAGAGGCAACCAGCGUGACCACUCCUUAGGCUUAUCCCAGAAAAACACCGUAAAUACUGCUCCACACAUUUAUUCACAAUCUCUGUUUGACCAUCCGUUUGGGGAUGAUAAGCCGACGAAAAUUUGAGCUCAGUCCCAUGCAAUUUGAACAGCUCCUUCCAAAAUAGGCUAGUGAACACAGGGUCUCUAUCACUGACAAUAGAUGUAGGCAUUCCAUGUAGUUUAAAAAUAUUGGCAAUAAAAAUCUGUGCAAUUUUAGUAGCUGUAUAAGGGUGCGCAACUGAGAUAAAAUGCGCAUACUUACUCAAUCUAUCAACCACAACCAAAAUCACACUGAACCCAUUAGAAAGAGGCAACCCCUCAAUAAAGUCUAAGGAGAUAUCUGCCCAAACCUUUGUAGGAAUAGGCAAAGGUUGGAGAAGACCUGCGGGGUGGCUGGUCUCAUUUUUGUUGCGUUGGCAAAUAUCACACUCUUUAAUGAACUUCUUAAUGUCAGCCUUCAUGCCCAUCCAAUAAAAAUUAGCUCUAGCCCGAGAUAGAGUUUUAUGGAAUCCUGAGUGGCCUGCCUGAGGGCUUCCGUGAGAUAAGUGGAGCAACUGAUUCUUGAGAACACUAGAAUCACUAAUAUACAGCCUGCCCUUGUAAAAUAACAACCCAUCCUUCAUGUCAUAUUUGGUCUCAUCCAAAUUGUGCCCUGCAAAAUCAGAAAUCAGUUUUUGUAAUUUGGGAUCCUCUGAAUAAGUCCCGUAAUGUUGAAAUCCAGUUAUCAGCAGGGAAUGACAAGGCAGUCAGCAUUGCUGGAGCAUUGUCAAAUUUCCUGGACAAGGCAUCAGCGACCAGAUUUUCUUUGCCUUUCUUGUAUUCCACCAAAAAAUCAAAGCCUAACAAUUUAGUUAGCCAUUUUUGCUGCAUGAGUGUCCCUAUUUUCUGCUCAAAUAGGUACUUAAGACUUUGAUGGUCCGUCUGCACUUGAAAAGUUUGCCCCAAAACAUAAGAACGCCACUUCUUGACUGCCAAAACCAAGGCCAUGAGCUCCUUUUCAUAUGUAGAUAGAUGCAAGGCCUUCCCAUGAAUAACCUGACUCAUAAAAGCAAUGGGUCUUUCUUGUUGCAUCAAAACAGCACCUACACCACAACCAGAAGCAUCACAUUGAAUAAUAAAGGGUUUAGUAAAGUCAGGAAGAAUUAAGACAGGGGGGUUGGUUACAGCAUUCUUAAGGGCAGUGAAAGCUUCUUUGGCUGUAGGGGUCCACUCAAAGGAAUUUUUUCGGAGUAAAGAAGUUAAAGGAGCAGCAAUAGAACCAUAACCUUUAAUGAAUUUGCGAUAAUACCCCGUUAGACCAAGAAAUCCCCUUAAAGAUUUAAGGGUGGAAGGAAAAGGCCAAUUUAACAUAGAUUCAAUUUUUUUAGGAUCAGCCCGGACUCCAUUUUUAGAGAUUAAAUGACCAAGAUAUUCAAUCUCCUGACACCCAAAGGAACACUUAGAUUUUUUUGCAAAAAGCUGAUGAUUUUUUAAAAUAUUCAAUACCACUGUUAAAUGGUGUUGAUGCUCUUCCAAAGUUGUGCUAUAAAUAAGAAUGUCAUCAAAGAAAACUAACACGAAUUUUCGCAAGAAGGGCUUAAAAAUAUGAUUCAUGAGAGAUUGAAAAGUGGCUGGAGCAUUUGUAAGGCCGAAGGGCAUUACGAGAAAUUCGUAAUGGCCUUCAUGAGUGCGGAAAGCAGUUUUUGGGAUAUCCUUGGGGUUAACUCGAAUUUGAUGAUACCCGGAACGUAAGUCUAAUUUACUGAAGAUAGUUGCCCCAUGCAACUCAUCUAGAAGUUCAUCCACAAUAGGAAUAGGAAAUUUGGCCUUAAUGGUGUCUUUGUUCAAAGCUCUAUAAUCAACACAAAGACGCCAACUACCAUCCUGUUUACGAACUAAAAGAACUGGAGAAGAAAAGGGACUAUGACUAGGACGAAUGAUACCCGAACUAAGCAUGUCAUUAACAAUCUUUUCAAUUUCAGUUUUUUGAAAAUAAGGGUAGCGAUAUGGUCCAACACAUACUGGUUUAGCCCCUGGUUGAAGAACAAUAUUGUGGUUAUGGUCACGAUUUGGUGGCAGACCAGCGGGUUCACAAAAAACUUCCUGAAAUUGGUCAAGUAAUUCAACAAAGAAGGGUUCAGUUUCAAGAGUAGAAAUGCAAAGUGCAUCAGGUGAAAGUAGUUGUAAUACCAAACCCCGUUUGUCUUGAUUCAUAGCCUUUCCAAACUGCUCCCCAUUCAUCAAGGAAACUUCUGUGGGUGUAAUGCCCUGUAAAACAUGCCUAGAAUCCAAGAGAUUAAAUUCCAUGCGUAAUUUAACAAAAUCCCAUAAAAUAGGCCCUAAGAUACUGAGCCAUUGAACUCCUAACACAAUAUCACAACCACCCAAAGUCAAAACAUAAAAAUCUGUGUGAUAAGUGUUACCCUGCAUGUGGAACGGAAUAUCCACACAUUUCCCUGUACUGCACAAGCUGUCCCAUUGGCUACUUUCACCAAGAGUCAUGUUGUUGCUUGUAAGUGAAGAUGCGCUCGUUGUUGAAUUGAGGGUCCAUGAAAUUAUGGUGCUCCCGGUAUCGAUGAGGAUCACCACAGCACAACCAUUAACAUAUCCCAGAAUGCGCAUGGUUUUGGGGCUCGGAGAACCUGCCAACGCAUGAAUGGAAAUCUCAGGUGCUGAUUCUGAAUUUCCCUCACUUCCUCCUGAAAGACUAUCAGUUUCUUCUAAAAGUCGAGGCUGCUGAAUGAGUUGCAGCUCUUCCCCUUCUGAAUCCUCACAUUCCAUUAUAAAUAAACGAGCUGAUUUGCAUUUGUGGCCCGGACCCCAUUUUUCAUCACAGUUGUAACAUAAUCCCCUUGCUCUCCUCUCUUUUAUUUGUACUAGGGACAAGCGUUGGAUUGGAACAAGUGCCUUCAUAUCUGAUGUUGGUGAGUUAGGAAGUGGACGUGGGGACGUAGAUCCCAACGGUGAACUCCGCCUGAGAGCAGCCACAUUUUCCUCCUGCAUUUUUGCCAUACCAAAAGCCAUUGUGAGGCUAGAGGGAUUUAACAUACGAACCAUGAAACGAAUAUCCUCUCGUAAGCCACUUAAAAAACAACUGAGCUUGUAUGGUUCUACCAACCCUUUAAGUUGAUUAGAUAAGAUCUCAAAUUGGGACUUGUAAGCCUCCACAGUUGUAGUUUGUCGUAGCCUUGUAAGAGUCUCCAUUGGAUCAUCCAAAAUGGAAGGGCCAAACCUGGUAAGUAAAGAUUGUGUGAAGCCAUCCCAACUAGUGAUGCUACCCGAGGACUCUAAGUCCUGAAACCAAGUGAGAGCUUUACCCUCCAUGUGAAAAGAAGCCAAGAGGACUCGAUGAUGAGGGUUGGUUUGAUGAUACGUAAAAAAUUGAUUAGCACGAUAAAUCCAACCAUUGAGUUCUUAACCAUUAAACUUAGGAAAGUCAAGACGAAUAGCCCGUGUUUGAAUGCCACCCUGUUCUUCAAACAAAGGAUUUCGCAUGUGGGACCUUGCCCCAGGUGAAGUAUCCUCUGUCUGCUUCCCGUGGGACAUUGACCCAGAUGGAGUAUCCUCUAUUUGCUUCCUGUGGGUAUGGACCAAGGUGUCCACAUUAGCAACCACCAAUUGUAAUUGGUUCGUCAAGCCUUCAAUUGCCUGUUGCAAGGCUUCUUGAUUUUGGUGCUGAAUUUCUUGAGUUUGCCUAACUGAGGCCAAGGAUUCCACAAGUUGUGAAUAACAUGUAAUAUGCCCAUCAACCAUGGAUUGAACGGUUCUGAUACCACUUGUAAGAUACCACUUAGUAGCAAUAAUUAAAUAGCUACUUUGAGGGAGUUAAAUUCUGUUUUUGCUGAAAUUAUACUCCCAUUCUUAUUAAUUCUCAUAACUUAAAUAGUAAAACAAUUACUGAAAUUAAACGACGAUUAACAACCCAUCAUUAAUACUAUUCUAUAACGGAAGUAACUCCCAAUUAAUUACUUCAUAAUAGUUCUUUUUCCUCAAGACCCACGAUCAAGUCAUCCUCCUUCAUCAAAGUUAAUAAUGACUGUGUAACCGAAGGCCACGUCCUAACAGUCCCAUGACAGAAACUGAUUAAACGACGUAGUAAUGGCAGUAUCAUCGGUGUGAGAAGCAGUUGUUCUAGGAGAGAAGUAGGGACUGUGCUGGGGUGUUCGUCGCCAGUAAAGCCGUGGCUCCGUUGGAAUGGGAAGGAGAUGUGUGAUUGAGGAGGAGGAGAUGUUAUGAGGUUCAAGAUGUCUGAUUUUAAGGUUCUUGAUCGUGUCAGUAUUGACCUUGGUGGCCGGGUAAGCCAGAAAACUUUGAUUUAUAUAAUUCUUUAAUAUAUAUAUAUAAAGAACACAAAUAUUCCCAGUCUUCAUUUUUUUUUCUUUAUCUGUUAAAUAUUGUUAAUUUCGCUGCGAUUUUCGGUUAUUAACACUAAGGUUAUUGUUUAAUGUCCAAAAGUGAUUGCUCUUAGCACUGCUAAUUAUGGCAUGGAUAACUGAAUUGGGGGUUUUUUUAGGCGGAUGAGGUGGUUUUUGAAGCAAUAGUGAAGGAUUUUAAUAGGUUAGCUGUCUUUUCUUAAUUAAUUUUGUAAUAUUGUGUGAUUAUUGGAGGUAAUGAGUUUAACGUGGAAUUGCAGCCCUUUGUAUAAUAACAUUAAAGCUGUGCUUAGGAAACUUGUCAGUACUCAAGCAAAACGUUGAGGAAUGCGAGCAAUAGAGGUUUGGGGUUUUGUUUUGAAGUUUCUUUAUUUGGUAUUUGAGGUUUUUAAUAUUGGUGUAACUUUGGUGCUGUUAAAGUGUUUUUAGGUAUUGAAGAAGCUGGUUCGCGGUAAACUUAUAUAUGUACCAUUCUUAUUCGAUGCAAGUUCAUGGUUAUAUUGCGUGUGCAUUAAAUGUUCGUUGUACGAAGCCAUUUAGAUGUUUAUGCUAGGGAUGUUAGUCUUUCUAGGAGACCCCUGUUGGAGAUUUCCUGUUUAUUGGACAAGCCUUCAUUUCUCUGAAUUUAGAAUUAAAUUUGAUAUAUAUAGAAUAAGGAAAGAACUUCUUUAAGGAGAAGGGCAUUUGAGGAAACUCUUGUUGAUUUGUGCUUUCUGAUAUGACAACACUUGAUGCACAACAAUUUCAGUUUAUCUAUUGAAGUCAAAUUUUAUUUCUGGUAUUCUGCUUUGAAAGUUUGGUACCUCUUCAACAGCAUUGAAUAAUGGAAAUUUUGGUGGUUCUAGACUUAUGGUUGAGGAAAGGUUUAUUAGCACAAAUAUUGGGGAACGAAACAAGACAUGAAUAAAUCAGCACCAUUGAAUUAGUGCACCUCCCACACAUGGGUACAACUAUCCACUGUUUUCAGCUCCAUAACUUCUGCUAUAAAGCACUACAUCAUUGAUUAAGUUGUGUAACAUGUGGUUUCUUUCUUGCGUUGAUGUCUUACUUUGUGAAACUUCUGAAAUUCCAACUUUUCAGGUAGGGAUACUAGGGAAAGCUGCUGACUUUUACGAGGAUGGUCCAUAGCAGCACAAUGGACAACAUGGACAGACGGCAGAUGAUGAUUGCAUUUGACAUGAGGUAUGCAUAGAUAGAUAGACCUAAAAGUGUAUCCAGUUAGUGCUGCUAGCAGAGCUCCUGAUGUACCGAAUUCUGUUUCAUCCCUGUUGAAAAGAUGUGUAGGAUUUAUGAUGGAAAAAAUUGUGCUGUGGGAACUCAUGGAUCCAUUAAUUUUAAUGAAGUUCAAAUCAUUCCUCAUGAAGGUACAACAUGCUAGUCCCCUUUUUUUUUUCUUUUUUUUCCUGUAAAGCUUUUGGAUUAAUCAAUCCAGAACCUGGUGCAUUUUUUGUUGACUUGCAUUUCGUCUCUUGAUAAGCUCAAGUUUCUCUUUAUAAGACUGGACAUUGGCAGUCACUUUAUUUGCUCAAUAUGAAAAAAAAUCCUAUAGUAUCAUAUGCAGUACUCAUCAUGUGUUGGUACUGAUCCUUAUUAGGAAGUUGUAUUGGCAUAUUGAGUGUUAACUGUGUUACCAAAUUUCUCUUUUACGUAUGAGUGCAGGGAAAUGAUCCUUCGUGCUUGCAUGAAUUUUUAUUGCAAAUCCUCAGUAGGAAUUCUCCAUCUGGAAAUGUUGGACUCCAAGUAGUACGAAAGCAAAUUACCAUACUUUUAGCUACACCUUUCACAAUAUCUAUAAAGAUUGUUUUUUGUUUCUUCUAGAUACUAACUGUGGUGCCGGUUGGAACCUUUUAUCCUUGUUAUUGGCAACCAAACCUUCCAAAAGAAUAAGGUAUUCAUCAGUUCAUCUCUUAUUAGACAAUAGCAAAGACAACACGAGGCUAACCAUAUUGAAUGGAAUCUGAAUUAAUUUGAGAGAGAUGAGGCAUCUAUGAUGACUAUUUUGAUUUGUUUUGUAGUUGUUUGGAUGCCCUCAGGCAUCCAUUUCUGUGUGGACCAAGAUUACAGGUGGCGCCAUCCAUGGAUAUCAUCAGAUGGGGUCUUGGCUCAACUGCAGUUCGAAUUACAGAGGAAAACAUUUAUAAGCAGCCCCAGGUGUCUCUACAGUUAGCAUUUCUAAGUUCUCUAUUGCCAUUCAGAUGGAUUAAUCGGUUGUGACUCUUUCAAACCAGUGCCUUGUGUGAUUAGCUGCAAAUUUUGAAAGUUUCCUUUUCUGGGCAUAGAGUAGCGCAAGCAUGCAUCUUGAACAUUUAUCAGAGGCUUUGUGAACCUGGAAAGUACCCUGUUUUUCUAGGGAAGAACAUGUAUGAGAUGGAACAACGAGUGUUACUAAUUAAUUUCCUGUUACUUGAAAGAUAUCUUAGUGUGCUUCCAUUUCUAUUCGUACUAUUAAAUCUUUGCCUAUAAACUCAUUAUAUAUCUGGUGUUGGUUUAUAGCUCGCAAUGGCAUUAGGUUGACAAGGUAAACUGAUAGCGUAAUAGGCUUUCCAAUUUUAUCAAAUUGAUGGAGAUGUUGAAUGCUCAUUGAGGCCAAAUGUUAGUAAUUAUCCGAACAACAUGUUCGUAGCUUUUGUAGAUUCAUUAAUUCUUUUGGUCUCUCUAAAGAGUCAUAUGGAUCUAUGUCUAGUUGCCUCAAAGAUAUUAUAACUUGUAUCAUCACCCUUACUUUCAAAGGCUUCUUCUAAUUUAUGGUCACUAGUUCUGCUAGUCCUGCACGGGGUCAAUGGAUCAGCUCUGUUAUUUACAUGAUCUAUGUGUUGAUGAAACAUGUAGAUAGCAAUUGCGCACAACUGUAGAUAGAAAUUUCUGUCGGGAAUGUAAUUAGCUGUUGUGUUCUUGCUCGUGUAAUUUGUACAGUCGAUUAAUUGAAGACCAACCUUUUUCCAAAUGCAGUGCAGCCUGAUGUCUGAGUGGCUUGUCAAAUGUUGCAAUGUUAUAAAGCUUUAUUUGAAAAAUGAUUAUACCCAGUGAAGACAGCCUCAAAGAUUUCCGAGUCAAAUGCGCCAUGUUGCUAUGAAAAUAAUUUCAUUUACCACACCCAUUGAAAUAUUGACAAGUAUAUGUAUUUUGCAUCAAAAGAAGAAUUGGGCUCAUGUUAGGUUGAUAUGAACUUUAAUAAACCUUAAUAAGAAGACAGCCGAAGGUAGUCAAGAUGAUAUCAAACAGCGUAUAAAAGCCAGCUGUCUUAAAAAAUUAUUUUAAUCCAAUAAUUUAAGUUGUUAGUUAACUUAAUAGCUUAAGCUUGUAGAAAUUUAUAUUAUUUUAUAUUUAAUUUUUAUCAAAUAAAUAAAAAUAAUAAAAUUUAAACUCGUAAUCACUUUAUUAUCAAGCAUCUGAUAUCAUAUUAAAGAACCAUUAUAAUUUAAUAAUUUAAAUUAUUAGAUAAAAUUUCAAGAUAUAAUUUAUAUUAUUACAUAACAAGCAGGAAAUAACUUCAGAUUUGGUAUAUUCAUGCUCAAUCGAUUUUGUAACAACAAAACAUUUUAUAGAUUCCGACCAACCUAAAACGAUGAUAUGGCUAUAUAUUACUAAUUUACUAGUCCAACACAAACCUCUAUUGCUCAUGUCAAUCCAAUUAUAACCUCAAUUAAUAUCAUCUAGUCUUUAUUUCACUUGUGAUUAUGGUUUUUUUAGUCAAAUGAUUAUAGCUGUUAAACUCUACCUGGUUAAAAUUCAAGACAUAGAUUAGGACUGGGUGUUUUUUUAAUUGAAUGUUAUCACGGAUAAAUCAUUUCAAUGAAUUCGGAAGUUUAGUGACCUGUUGGAACUAAUCGGAUCAAUAAAUAAAUAAAAACAACAUUAUUUUAAUGAAAAAAUUGACCCGAGGGUGGAUUAUCAGAUUAUCGCAACGAGAAUCAGAAGACUAACAGCAUCUCAUCACCCAGAUGUGAAGUAUCAGAUUAUCGCAACGAGAAUCAGAAGACUAUUUUUGUAAAGACUUUAAUGUCAUAGAAAUAUGCAUGUGGUAGGGCCCGAGGAUUUUGUCUUCUUCUUUGUUUCGUAGGCGCCCACCAUUCUGAUCACCAUCACCUUGACCAUAGCGCCAUUGUAAGCCAAUAAAGAAAUGAACCGCACGAGGGCCGUUUUUAUAGUUUUGUGAUCGAAGCAACAAGCCUCCUCAUCACCAAUUAAUGCUCUAUGAUAAUAUCAAUAUAUUCUACGUCGAUAGGUAGUCGAGGAUUCAGGUAAUUUAUAAACCCUAGCUAUUAUCUCUCUAUUUCAAGAGGUGUAUAUAUUUUCAAGAUCAAACCCCCACUUUGAUAUCAUAAUUUUAAACGUGAAAUAAUACCUCUUAUAUAUAGAGGCAAUCUGGCAACGGAUUUAAGCCAACAUCGUUACUUUCUUUCGUCAAGAUGCCGAAUAUGCAGAACAAUUCACAUUUCAUAUGCAAGAGCGCGAUCACAUAUACCACAUUACUACUACUGCGUACCCUUGCAUGAGAAGUGGCCUUGCGAGCUACUUAUUGCGUUAUUCAGAGAUCAGUAAUUCCAUAUUAUUGAAAGAAAGGUGCAAAAGGAGCAUCUUGAGAGACCUUAGCAGAUGGGAUGGCUUUUCAAAGUUAAACAUACUAAUUGCAGAAGCAGCACACAUAUAUGAGAAUUCAAGAAACUUGAAACUCACCCAACUUAGCAAUCUAACAUGUCCCCCUAAGCGGGAAACAUGGCUCCAUUUCAUUCACUACUGGAUGUACAGAAUAAGCCACCCAUUAAUUAAUAACAACCAACGUGUAGUUUAGUAGAGUAGAAUUACGACUGAGGAAACUUAGUAGAGUAGAUAAAAUUACGACUGAGGAGAAGAAAACGCAAAAGUACAGAAAGGGACUCGAUGCAAGCCAGUGCAUGAAACCGACACUAUUAUUUGAUAGCUUGACUUACAGAGCUAUUAAUUAGGGAAAUGGACGAGAUCCGUGCGUAGCCAAAUGUAGCACCAAAGAUCUUGAUUGCCUUUUCAGCACGAACCUUGUAAGAGAUUGUUGCAGUAGCUCGGUUCAUAUGUUUAGUAAACCUGACCUUGUCACCAACUUGUAGCUUCUUGCUCUUAACGAAUGCAACCCAACCCCUUGUGAGGACCGGCUUCGGGUGUCCUCUCUUGCGGAUGUAGCAUUGAAAGGUCCAAGCUUCGCCUUUCUCGUCUGUAGCUUCAAAGGUGACGGCAUGGCUGCCUAGUUUGAAAGGUGGAAGAGAACUGAGAAACCUGAUAGGAACUGACAGCCUCUUCUUAGUAUCAGUCUUUCUGAGGAUCUUGGAGAACUCUGCCAUUUUCUAGGACAAGCAAAAACGAAGCAAUGCUUAUUUAUAAGGAGCCACCAUCUACUUACCUCCACUUCAAUUAAAGUAAGGGUAGCUACGUAAGAAACUAUCAUGAUUUAUCCACCGCACGAUAUCGCGCGAUAUCGUGCGAUAGCGCAUGUAUAUAUAUAUUAAUCGUGCGAUCUCGGUACAUGGCAAGGACAAAAAAACAAUGCUGGUAGUGACACUCAAGAAUGUUAUAUGCAGUGAUAUUAAACCCGGUCCGGUCUGGUGGGUUAAUCUAGAACCCGGUCGAUCCAGUGACUAGACUAAUCUGGGUUUAGUAAAAGACCGGCUAUAACAACAGCCCGGUCAAACUCGUGUGACUCGCGGAUCAACCUAUGACCCAAGUGAACCCGGACGAGACCCGGUUAUUUUUUUUUUCAAAUGUGGGAUUUGAAACCUAUUAGUAUAAAUACUCUAUGUUUCUAAGAAAAAAAUCAUAUUUUUUCAAUGUGGAUAAAAAAAUUUUUUGGUUUAAACACUUCAACUUAAAAGGAUAACACCUUUCGAAUAUAUAUUCUAUGUUCCCAAGAAAAAAAAUCAUGAUUUUUUAAUAUAGGAUAAAAAAUAUUUUGGUUUAAAUACUUUAACUUAAAAUGAUAACAUAAUAUCUUUUCAAUGUGGGAUUUGAAGCUCUUUCGUAUAUAUACUCUAUGUUCCUAUGAAAAAAGUUAUGUUUUUUCAAUAUGAGAUUUGAAACCCAUUAGUAUAUAUAUUUUAUAUUCUCAAGAAAAAAAUCAUGUUUUUUUAAUGUGGGAUAAACAAAUUUUUAGUUUAAGUACUUCAACUUAAAAGGAUAAUAUAAUAUCUUUUCAAUGUGGAAUUUGAAGUCCUUUUAUAUAUAUACUUUAUGUUCCCAUGAAAGAAGUUAUGUUUUUUCAAUGUGAGAUAAAAAAAAAAAUUAGUUUAAAUACUUCAGCUUAAAAGUUUAACAUAAUAUUUUGUUAAUGUGAGAUAAAUUUUUUUAAAAAAUAUUCUUUUAAACUUCAUUGUUUACAAUAUGUAUAACCUAUAUUUACAUGCAUUUUCUUAUAUGAAAUAUUAUAUAUUUAUUUAUUUAUUAUUUUUUUCAAGUUAACCUGGGUUGAUCUAUUAUACCCGGGACCCAACCCCUUAGCUUGGUUAAGGUUUAAUAAUAGAUCAGGUUUAAUAACUAUGGAAACUAUAUAUAUAUAUUCAAUCAAGAAAAAUCAAAAGAAGAAUGAUAUAUAUAGACACACACUUAAAAAAAAAAAAAAAAAGUCUCAGAUCAAAAGAAGAAUGAUAUACAUAUAUAUUGUAAGGUAAGAAAAAAAGAAAAAAUAAACCCGCGUCUAGUGCUAGCUCCAAGUGAAGCAAUCCCUGCGUUGUCAAGAUUCUGAAGUCUGAAUUGAUGUGACCAUUAAAUAAAAAAAAAACAAUAAUAAAACAUGGAAUUUUAACCAAAAAUCAAUUACGCAAUUUACUUCAUGAGGUUUCUCCCAAUGGUGUCUUGAGUAUUGAAGAUAUGUUGUGAUAGCUUUUUUUUUUUAAUUACAAAGAAAAAGAUUAUUUGAUUAGGUUAAUAGUUUUUUUUUAUACUAUUACUAAAAUUAUGUUUCAAAUUUUAAUUUUAUAAAAUUUAGAAUAAUUUUUAUUUAUUUAUUUUAUAUACAAAAAUUCAUCUUACAGUAAUUAUAUAUAUACUGUCACAACUAUUUUUUUUUAAAAAAACUACAACCCAUAUCAUUAUUGGUCUUUUAACACAUAACUUUCAUAUGCAUAACUAGUACAUAGUUUAAUGAUAAAAAUUUAAAUGGAUUGCCAUUUCUUGAGCUAAUAGAUGUUAAACGGGUCGAGUCAAUUUUUGCUUUUUAUAUAGAAAAGCAAGUGAAAUGUUGUUGUUUAUGUAAUUAAGUUACAUAAAAUGUUUUGAUUUUAUAAAGUUAUUCGAUACGGUGAUAAAUCAGUAUGUUAUUUAUCUAAAAACCAUGUUCAAAUUAAGGAAAUAAAGGUAAGGUGAUAUCCUAAUGUCAUUAAGUAUAGCUAAGUACUGAGCUUAAAUAUAUAUGAGUUUAUGAGUUUGGUAAAUUACUAGAUCCAGUAUUUUUAAAUUUAAUCAAGCAUUUAGUUUAAGCAUGUAUAAGUCUGGCGAGCUACCAGACCCAACAUCUUUUUGUGCUUAUGUAUAGAUGGGUCUGAUAAGCUACCUGACCCGGUAUUUUUGGGUUCAACCAAGCACUAAACCUAAAUAUAUACGUCGGUGUGGUGAGCUACCAGACUUAGCAUUUUUUGGUUUAGUCAAGUAUUGAGUCCAAAUAUAUAUUAUUCUAGUAAGCUACUAGACCCAACAUCCUUUUGAGCCUAAAUAUAGAUGAGUCUGGCUAGCUACUUAACUCAAUAUCCUUAGGCUUAGCCAAGUGUUGAGCGCAAACAUGUAUAAAUCAGUCUAGAAAGCUAUCAGACUCAAUAUCUUUGGGUUCAACCAAGUGUUGUGCCCAAACAUACAUGGAUUUGACGAACUACAAGAUUCAACAUCAUUAGAACCAGCCAAGCAUUGAACCUAAAUACAUGUGGCUCUAAUAAUCUUAUCAUGCUCCAUAUUGAACCACAAGAUUUGAUGAGUCAAAGAUCUUUUUCCUUGUGUUAAGUCAGAUCUUUUUUCUGUGAUGAGUUAGAGAUUUGUUUUUCCUUUUGAAUACAUAAAAGAUAUUUUAAUACUAUCAGAAAAAAAAAGGGAUUUUGGGGCCUUCCCCUCGAUAAAAAAAAAGAAAAAAAAGAAUCAUGAACUAUAUAAAAGCUUAUUGAAUUUUUAGAAGAAAAGAAUCAAUCUUUUCAAAUUGAUAUAAUUUUUAGCAUAUAUAUUUUCAGAUUCUAUCUCUCUAAUAGAUAUUGGUAUUUUCUCUAAAAAAAAAGAUAUUUAAGCAUCAAAGAGUCGCUAAAUUUACAAAAGGAGACCUAUUAUAGGUAUCAAUCAUCAGCCACUUUGGCUUACCAAGCACUAGGUAUCGGCUAUUAACCAUAUUGGCUGACAAAUAAUCAACUCGAUAGAAUCAAGAAAUUAACUGAUUAUUCAACACAUGAAUCAUAUUUCGAAGCAACCCUUGUUAAUUGACGCUACCAAUGAAAACUAAUAAAAAACCAUUGACUAUUCUUCAAAAACUAGUUUAUUAACUAGAUGCCAUGCCUGCGCGAUGUCGCGGGCUUGUGGCAUGCUUAUGCGUUGUCGUGGGUUUGUGGAAAAAACAAUAAAAAAAUUAUUCGGAGAAAAAAUGUUGCAAUCCAUAAUAUUUUCAAGGAAAAAACUACAAAGCUAAAUUCAUAACUAGAUUAAUAUUUAAAAAAUAAAAUGAACAAAGAAAAUUUUGAAAAAAAUCAUAAAAAAAAACUCAAAGGAAAAAAAAACUAUGCAGGGAAAUACUGUAGCAAUCUAUAGUGUUUCAUGAGAAAAUCUACAGUUAUAAUUCUUAACCAGCUCAAUAUUAAAAAUAAUAAAAUCGAUAAAGACAAUUUUGAAAAAAAUCAUAACAAAAAAAAUCAUGUAGGGGAACAUUGUAGCAAUCUACAAUGUUUUAAAGAAAAAAACUACGAAGCUAAAUUCUCUACCAGCUCAAUAUGAAAAAAAUAAAAUUGAUAAAGACAAUUAUGGAAAAAAAACAAAAAAAAAACCAUAUAGGAAAACAAUGUAGCAAUCCACAGUGUUUUAAAGAUAAAAAACUACAAAGCUAAAUUUUCAACCAGCUCCAUAUUAAAAAAAAAAAUCAACAAAAACAAUUCUAAAAAAAAAACUCAAAAAUAUGAAAGAAAAAGAAGAUAAUUUUGAAAAAAAAAACAUGUAAAAAAAUUUACAGUUGUAAUUCUUAAUCAGCUCAAUAUUUAAAAAAAAAUCGACAAAGAUAAUUUUGAAAAAAAAAAACAUGCAAGGAAACACUGUAGUAAAACAAAAACCAUGUGAGGAAAUAUUGUAACAAUCCACGAUGUUUUAAAGAAGAAAAACUAUGACGCAAAAUCGACAAAGAUCAUUUUGAAAGAAAAAAAAAGAUGAAAAAAAUUCAUAAAAAAAGUCAUGUAAGGAAACAUUGUAGUAAUCCAUAAUGUUUUAAAAAACAAAACUAUAGAGUUAAAUUUUCAACCAGUUUAAUAUUAAAAAAAUUAACAAAGAUAAUUUAAAAAAAAACACAAAAACAAAAAAGAAUAAAAAAGAAAAGAAGAAGAUAAUCUUGGGGAAAAAAAACAUGCAAAGCCCAAAAAAGGAAAAAAAAUGUGGGAGAAAAAACAAAACAAACAAACAAACAAACAAAAAACAAAAAAAUGAAAAAAAAGAAGUAUGUGGUAUGAAAAAAGCUAUAGUAUUUUCCUAACACCUUUUAAAAUAUUAGUUAAUAUCUCUAAUUGCAAUUAAAGAUAAAAAAAAAAUACAAACUAAAACACCCCCCAAGGAGGACAUACGAUAGGCCUUUCUACAGUUAUUGAUAUAUCUGUUAUGUCAGAACUCCAAAAACUCUUGGAAGAGAGUAACUACCACCCAAGGUUGUUAAAAUCGCGAGUUGACUCUUAAAAUCUUAUGAUUUUACGAGUUAACAUGUAUAAAACGUGUCAAAUCGGGUUAAAACUCGAAAUCGGUUAAACUCGGUCAAAAUCCGUCAAACUCGGUUAAAAUUGGUAAAAUCGGACCGAUUUUACGAGUUUGACCGUGUUUGAUCGAUUUCAAGUUUUAACUCGCAAAAGUUAAAAAAUUUACUACCUUCCUAUCCGAGUCCCCUAACACUCCACUACAUAGUCCCCACUCCUCAGUCUUCCCUUUCCCCGUUGCCCUAAAUCUCAAAUUUUCAAUCUUAGUAGACUAACACCAGCAUUAGAGGAUCUUGGAUAUGGGAAAGCUUUAUACUGUAUUUUAGGUUGGGAAGGCAUGAUCGGAGAAUCGAAACCAUGGGAAGAUAGAGGUAGAUGGCGAUGAAUUAAAAGAGUAAAUAAGAGAUAUGAAUACUUAUAUAAAGAGAAAUAUUGUGUUUUAGACUAACCAUUUGUUAACUUUAAAGAGAGACGACAAAGACUCAAAGAGAACUUAAAAUACAUGUCUUGCUUGGUGGGAUAUUUGGACAUUAUUUAUAGGAAUUGUUACUAACAUAAAAAAAAAUGGAAGGUGAGGUGGCAUUGUUCAAUCUUUUUUUUUCUUUUUGUAUUUUUAAGUUAUUUAAACCAUAAAUAAAAUUUUAUUUGAAUUAUAUAUUUCAAGGUAUUUGGAUACUUGUAUUAUUUAUUUUAUUUUUAUUUUAAUUAUGUUAUAUUAUAAUUUAUUGUUUGACUGAAAUUGUCAAUAUAUAAUUAGUUAAAAUAUUUUUUUGUGAUUUUACGAUUCGAGUUUACGAUCCGAGUUUAUAUUGUAUAUUUCGUGUCGUGUCAAAAAAACAUUUUUGAGAACCUUGCUACCACCCUUAUAAAACACUUAUCAAAAAGUCAUUUCGAUUAGGGCAUCAAAACGUAACUCUUUUCUAAUUAUCGCCAUAGUUUAUUUCAAUACAAAGGCUAACCAUGAACCAGUUCUUAACCGUACACAUGGCUGGAUAAAAGAUCAAAGAGGUAAGAAAAUCCAAUUAACUAGCAUAAAGCUUUUGGGUUGUUGACUUCCCCUAGCCCAUAAAAUCUCCACCAGAUCUGUUCUUCAAUUGGAAAAAGAGAAAUCAAUUUAGGGUUUUCUUAGGAGAGAGAAAUUAUGUUUGAAGCGAGAUUUGUAGUGUUUGUAUUAUAUUAUACACGAGGAAAAAUUUAUAUUUUCAUUUAAAUUUUAAAAUUAUAUUUACCUAGAAUUAUAAUUAUAAAUAAAAACUGGAGUAAAAAAUAUGGAUAAUGAGAAUAAUUUUUUCAUUAAUUUAUAUAUAUAUUUAUGUAUAUAUAUAUAUAUAUUUAAUAGAGUUAAUAUAACUAAAAAGUUAAUUCAAUCUCGAGUAAAAUUAAAAAAAGAGUCGAGCUAUAAAUUACGAAUUUUUCAAAUUGAAUUCAUCAGACACAGGGGCGGAGCUGGGAUUAGUUAAUAGAGAGAGCCAAAAUUCAAAAUAUAAUUUAUUAUUAGAAAAUUUAUCUAUUUAAAAUAAAAAAAUACUAUAUUAUUAUAUAUAUAAACACUAAAUAAUAAUAAAAAACAAAUCUAAAAUAUUUUGCAGGCCCAGGCCUGCUUGCCGGCCCCCGGUUCGGCCCCUGAAUUUAGACAUUACCGGUUUAACAACUUGAGCAUAACAAUCUAUAAUAAUAUAAUUAUUUUUUUUAGCUCCAAAACAAAAACGUUGGAAACAACGAAAAGUGACGUGGCAGAGAUAGGAGUGUGCAACGUACGCAAAACACAAAAAAUAGCGGGAGGUGAAAAGUAGGAGGGAUUCGGAAAAACAGAAGUUGACACUAGCCAAGCCCAGGGCUCCGGAUUCCUGCACGCCUCUCUCACUCUCUUCUCUGUUUCUUCACACUUUCCUCUCCAUCCUUCUGCUAACUAACUCCUCUCUGAAUUAAAAAAAAUAAAAAUUCUUAGAGUUGUAACGGAUUGAUCAAUCUCCGGCGGCGACGGCGGCAAUAAAUGGAGUCGGAUUCUGCUCCUUUUCUGAUAAUUUGUCAAAGAUGAAACUGAUUAAACGACGUAGUAAUGGUAUUAUCAUCGGUGCGAGAAGCAGUUCUUCUAGGAGAGAAGUAGGGACAGUGCUGGGGUGUUUGUCGCCGAGUAAGGCCGUGGCUCCGUUGGAAUCGGAAGGAGAUGUGUGAUUGAGGAGCAGGAGGAUAAAAUGUUAUGAGGUUCAAGAUGUCUGAUAUUUAAGGUGCUUGAUCGUGUCAGUAAUUGGCCUUGGUGGCCGGGUAAGCCAGAAAACUCUACUUCAAUUUUGUUUUAAUCUUUAUCUGUUAAAUAUUGUUAAUUUCGUUGUGAUUUUCGGUCAUUAACACUAAGGAUAGUGUUUAAUGUCCAAAAGUGAUUGUUCUUAGCACUGCUAAUUAUGCCAUGGAUAACUGAAUUGGGGUUUUUCUAGGCGGAUGAGGUGGUUUUUGAAGCAAUAGUGAAGGAUUCUAAUAGGUUAGCUUUCUUUUCUUAUUUGAUUUUUUGAUAUUGUGUGAUUAUUGGAGGUGAUGAGUAUAAUGUGGAAUUGCAGCCCUUUGUAUAACAUUAAAGUUGUGCUUAGGAAACUUGUCAGUACUCAAGCAAAACGUAGAGGAAUGCGAGCAAUAGAGGUUUGGGCUUUGUUUUGGAGUUUUGUUUAUUUGGUAUUUGAGGUUUUGAAUAUUGGUGUAACUUUGGUGUUGUUAAAGUGUUUUUAGGUGUUGAAGAAGCUGGUUCGCCGUAAACUUAUGUACCAUUCUUAUUCGAUGCAAUUUCAUGGUUAUAUUUCUUCACCUUCUAGUGGCCGUGGUUCGUUUACUCUGGCACAUUGGGGUAUGUUCUGUUUCUGUGUAAGGUUUUGAUAUUGCGUGUGCAUUAAAUGUUUCGUUGUGUGAAGCCAUGUAGUUAUUUAUGCUAGGCAGGUUAGUCUUUCUAGGACACCCCUGUUGGAGAUUUUCUGUUUUUAUUGGACAAACCUUCAUUUCUCUGCAUGUUGCGUGUGGAUGCAGUUCUUCCCAUGUUUCAAUUUUUCCAUUUGUGAGUUUAGGGAUGUGAAAGUUUACGUCUUCCUUUUUAUUUUAUGGCAGUAUCAUGGUAGUUUUUCUUUGAGACAUUGGCUUCAACAAUCAGAUUGGCUUCCUACCUUGGAAGCCAAUCUUGCAUUGGAUGAGGAAUCUGUCAGGAGGGUGGGAGAUGACACGGUUGGAGGACCUGCUGUCUCUCGGCAGUUGCGAAUAACAUGCAUAUUGAUGAGGGAUCUAUUGAUUGGUAAUUGUAUUAUCUGUGCACAAAUAGUUGCCAUUUGUUGUGCACAACUAAAGUGUAAGGUGUUUGUUUUGCUUACUUAAGGUGAACUACUUGCAGAGUCAUGGACUUUCGGAUAUAGAGUUGAGGCUGGAGAAUGUGCAUAUAAGCCCAGAGGAUAGGCAUAUUAAAGUAAAUGCAAGCUUUCCCCCCUCUUAUGUGUUUUUUUAAUUUUAGAUUCUCUGAAUUUAGAAUUAAAUUUGAUAUAUAUAGAAUAAGGAAAGAAAUUCUUUAAGGAGAAUGGCAUUUGAGGAAAACUCUUGUUGAUUUGUGCUUUCUGAUAUGACAACACUUGAUGCACAACAAUUUCAGUUUAUCUAUUGAAGUCAAAUUUUAUUUCUGGUAUUCUGCUUUGAAAGUUUGGUACCUCUUCAACAGCAUUGAAUAAUGGGAAAUUUUUGUGGUUCUAGACUUAUGGUUGAGGAAAGGUUUAUAAGCACAAAUAUUGAGGAACGAAACAAGACAUGAAUAAAUCAGCACCAUUGAAUUAGUGCACCUCCCACACAUGAUUGCAUUUGACAUGAGGUAUGAAUAGAUAGAUAGACCUAAUAGUGUAUCCAGUUAGCGCUGCUAGCAGAGCUACUGAUGUCCUGUAGAUAGCAAUUGCGUACAAACUGUAGAUAGAAAUUGCUGUCGGGAGUGCAAGUAGCUGUUGUGUUCCUGCUCGUGUAAUUUGUACAGUCGAUUAAUUGAAGAAGAUCAACCUUCUCUAAAUGCAGUGCGGCCUGAUGUCUGAGUGGCUUGUCAAAUGUUGCAAUGUUAUAAAGCUUUAUUUGAAAAAUGAUUCUAAACCUUAAUAAGAAGACAGCCAGAGGUAGUCAAGAUGACACCAAACAGACUAUAAAACCAUCAGCUUCUGCUUCGGUACGUUCAUGCUCAAUCGUUUUUGCAGCCACGAACCAUUCUCUAGAUUCCGACCGACCAAAAAUGAUGCUAUGGCUAUUACCAGUCGAACACACACCUCUAAGAUCUAUUGCUCAUGUCAAUCCAAUUAUAACCAGAGCGUCAAGAUUAAAUGUCAUGUAGUCUUUAUUUCACUUGUGAUGAUGGCUUUCUUAGUCAUGAUUAUAGCUGUUAAACUCUACGUACCUUGCUUUGUUGAUUGAUUCGGAAAAUUAGGCUGGGUUUUUUUUUUAAUUGAAUUUGAUAACAUAUUGUUGGACAAAUCAUUUCAAUAUGGUCGGAAUUUUAGUGAUCCGUUUGGAGCUAAUCGGAUAAAAAAUUGACUCGAGGGUGACCCGCUGACCCAUAAAUUGGAUAGUCUCUGGAUUUUGUUUAACAGUUAAGAUCAUUAUAAUUGUCGAGAUUCGCCUCCAAAAAAAUGUCAUCCCUCCGAGAUAUUAUGGAGACCCAAUUUUGGAUGAAAAACUAACAGAUGUGAAGUAUCAAAUCAUCGCAAUGAGAAUCAUAAGACUAUUUUUGUAAAAACACUAAUGUCAUUACAUCUGAUGGAAAUAUAUCUUUUAAGAGUCUAGGGCCGAGAUGUAAUAAUGCAUGUGGUACGGCCUGAUGGUGGAUUUGUUUUGCAGGCGCCCACCAUUCUCACCAUCACCUUGACUCUAGCGCCACUGUAAGCCAAUAAAAGAAAUGAACCGCACGAGCGCCGUUGUUUAUAGUUUUGUGGACGAGGACUCCCUGAUCGAACCACCAUUAAUGCUCUAUGAUUAUAUCAAAAUUCUACGUCGAUAGGAAGUUGAGGAGGAUUCAGGUAAUUUAUAAACCCUAGCUAUAUAUUAUCUCUCUAUUUCAAGAGGUGUAAUUUCAAGAUCAAACCCAUUUUGAUAUCAUAAUUUUAAACAUGAAAUAAUACCUCUUAUAGAGGCAAUCACGCAACGGAUUUAAGCCAACAUCGUUACUUUCUUUCGUCAAGAUGCCAAAUAUGCAAAAUAAUUCUCAUUUCAUAUGCAAGAGAAGUGGCCUCGCGAGCUACGGCCUAUUGCGUUAUUCAGAGAUCAGUGAUUCCAUAUUCUUGAAAGAAAGGUGCAAAAGGAACAUCUUGAGAGACCUUAGCAGAUGGGAUGGCUUUUGAAAGUUAAACAUACUAAUUGCAGAGUAGAAUUACGACUGAGGAAACUUAGUAGAGUAGAUAAAAUUACGACUGAGGAGAAGUAAAAUGCAAAAGUACAGAAAGGGACUCGAUGCAUGAAACCGACACUAUUAUUUGCUAGCUUGACUUACAGAGCUAUUAACUAGGGAAAUGGACUAGAUCCGUGCGUGGCCAAAUGUAACACCAAAGAUCUUGAUUGCCUUUUCAGCACGAACCUUGUAAGAGAUUGUUGCAGUAGCUCGGUUCCUAUGUUUAAUAAACCUGACCUUGCCACCAGCUUGUAGCUUCUUGCUCUUAACGAAUGCAACCCAACCUCUUGUGAGGACUGGCUUCGGGUACUGUCCUGUCUUGCGGAUGGAGCAUUGAAAGGUCCAGGCUUUGCCUUUCUCGUCUGUAGCUUCAAAGGUGACGCAAUGGCUGCCUGGUUUGAAAGGUGGAAGAGACCUGAGAAAACUGAUAGGAACUGACAGCCUCUUCUUAGUAUCAGUCUUUCCGAGGAUCUUCUCGAACUCUGCCAUUUUCUAGGACAAGCAAAAGCAAAGCAAAUGAAAUGGGUUUCUUCUUGCUUGUGGGAGCUUUCAAUGUGCUUAUUUAUACCAGGUUUUUCUCCAUCAACGUGAUCUAUCUUUUCUCCAUCGCGCGAUGGGAAGUGAUGUAUACUUUCCAUCGCGCGAGGCGAUCUAUUUUUUCUCCAUCGCGCGAUGGAAAGUGAUGUAUACUUUCCAUCGCGCGAUCUAUUCUUUCCAUCGCGCGAUGCGAUCUAUUUCGGUGCAAGUAAGUCGUGCGAUCUCUCGGUAGAUCGAAAGGACAAAAGAAAAGGCCACUGAAGAAUGUUUUGUAAGGUAAGAAAGAAACAUCCAUGUCUAGUGCUCGCUACAAGCGAGACGAGAAGGGGAGAUGUGCGAAUUUAUUCUUCUUAAUUUAUCUCAUUUUAUAGUUUUAAUCUCUUAAAAAUAAUAUUGAAUUUCGAUUAAUUAAAACAUAAAAUCCUACAAAUAUAUAUAUCAUUUUAUAAAAUUAGUUUUUUUUUUUUUUGAAUGUGUUCGUGCGAAACAAAUUUCACACAGAUUAAAGAAUGAAAAUGGAAUGCAUAUUACGUAUACAAGGAUUAACUCUAUAGCUUAGCUUUUUUUAUUCAAUUGAAUAUUGUGAUGCAUCGAAUUUUACCAAACAUUCAAAAAAAAAAAAGUAAUAAAACAUCGAAUUUUACCAAAAAUCAAUUACGCUAGAGGUUAAUAAAACAACGAAAAGUGGCGUGGCGGAGAUAGAAGUGUGCAAAACAUAAACAAUAACAGGAGGUGGAAUGUAGGAGAUAUUCGGAAAAACAAAAGUUGACUCGAGCCAGGCCCAGGGCUCCGGAUUCCUUCAUGCAUCUCUCACUCUCUUCUCUAUUUCUUCACACUUUCCCCCCUGCAACUAACUCCUCUCUGAAUCAAAAAAAUAUUCUUAGAGUUCUAUAUCGAUUGACGGCGGCGACAACGACGGCGGCUGCAAUAUAUGAGUCGGAUUCUGUUUUCUUGUCGACGAUGAAACUGACUAAACGACUUAGUAGUGGUAGUAUCAUCGGUGCGAGAAGCAGUUUUUCUAGGAGAGAAGUAGGGACUGUGCUGGGGUAUUCGUCGCCGAGCAAGGCCGUGACUCCGUUGGAAUCGGAAGGAGAUGUGUGAUGGAGGAGGAGGAGGGGAGGAGAUGUUAUGAGGUUCAAGAUUUCUGAUUUUAAGGUGCUUGAUCGUGUCAAUAUUGGCCUUGGUGGCUGGGUAAGCCAGAAAACUCUACUUCAAUAUAUUUUUUUAAUCUUUAUUUGUUAAAUAUUGUUAAUUUCGUGUUGAUUUUCGGUUAUUCACACUAAGGAUAGUGUUUAAUGUCCAAAAGUGAUUGUUCUUAGCACUGAUAGUUAUGGCAUGGAUAACUGAAUUGGGGUUUGUUAUAGGCGGUUUUCGAAGCAUAUUGAAUGGAAUCUGAAUUAAUUUGAGAGAGAGGAGGCAUCUAUGAUGACUAUUUUGAUUUGCUUUGCAGUUUUUUGGAGGCCCUCAGGCAUCCAUUUCUGCGUGGACCAAGAUGGCAGGUGGCGUCAUCCAUGGAUAUCAUGAGAUGGGGUCUUCGCCUCGACUGCAGUUUGAAUUACAGAGGAAUACAUUUAUAAGCAGCCCCAGGUGUGUCUACAGCUAGCAUUUCUAAGUUCUCUAUUGUCACUCAGAUGGAUUCAUCGGUUGUUCUUUCAAGCCUGUGCCUUGAGUGAUUAGCUGGAAAUUUUGACAGUUUCAUGUUCUGAGCAUGGAGUAGCGCCACCAUGCAUCCUGAUCAUUUAUCAGAGGCCUUGCGAACCUAGAAAGUACCCUGUUUUUUUAGGGAAGCACAAGUAUGAGAUGGAACAAUUAGUGUUACUAAUUAAUUUCCUGUUACUUGAAAGAUAUCUUAGUGUGCUUCUAUUCCUAUUCGUACUACUAAAUGUUUGCAAUUUGCAUAUAAAUUCAUUAUAUAUCUGGUGUUUAGUAAUUAUCCGCAUUUCCUUUUCCAAAUGCAGUGCCGCCUGAUAUCCAAGUGGCUAGUCAAAUGUUGCAAUGUCAUAAAGCUUUAUUUGGAAAAUGUUCUACCCUUAAUUUGGCUAAACCUUCAUAAGAAGUCAGCCAGAGGUAGUGAAGAUGAUACCAAACAGACUAUAAAACCAUCAGCAGGGGAACAGCUGAAUUCUGCUUUGGGACCCAAGAACCAUUCCGACCUAAAAUGAUGCUAUGGCUAUUACCAGUCGAACACACACCUCUAAGAUUUAUUGCUCGUGUCAAUCCAAUUAUAUCCUAAAUGUCAUGCAGUCUUUAUUUCACUUGUGAUAAUUGCUUUCUUAGUCAUGAUUAUAGCCGUUAAACUCUACCUAGCUUUGUUGAUUGAUUCGGAAAAUCCAAGACAUAGAUUAGGGCUGGGUUUUUUUCUAAGUUAUUGUUACGGACAAAUCAUUUCAAUGUGGUCGGGAUUUUAGUGACCUGUUCGAACUAAUGGGAUCAAUAAAAUAAAAUUAAAAAAAAAAAAUAUUAUUUUAAUAGAAAAAUUGACUCCAGGGGUGACCCGGUUACCCAUAUAUUGGAUAUUCUCUGGAUUAAUUUUGUUUAAUUAAGAUCAUUAUAAUUGUCGAGCUUCGCCUCCUACAAAAUGUCAUCCCUCCGAGAUGUAACAGAGAUCCAAUAUUUUUUAUGAAAAACUAACAGCAUCUCCUCAACACCCAGAUAUGAAGUAUCAAAUUAUCGCAAGGAGAUCAUCAUAAAACUAUUUUUGUAAAAACAUUAAUGCCAUAAAUAUAUGCACGUGGUAGGGCCCGAGGGUGGAUUUGGUCUUCUUCCUUUUGUUUUGGAGGCGCCACUAUUAUUUGCUAGCUUAUUAAUUAGGGAAAUGGACUAGAUCCGUGCACGGCCAAAUGGAGCACCAGAGAUCUUGAUUGCCUUUUCAGCUCGAACUUUGUAAGAGAUUGCUGAAGUAGCUCUGUUCUUACGUUUAGUAAACCUGACCUUGUCACCAACUUGUAGGUUCUUGCACUUAACGAAUGCAACCCAACCUCUUGUGAGGACUGGCUUCGGGUACUGUCCUGUCUUGCGGAUGGAGCAUUGAAAGGGCCAAGCUUCGCCUUUCUCGUCUGUAGCUUCAAAGGUGACGGUAUGGCUGCCUGGUUUGAAAGGUGGAAGAGACCUGAGAAACCUGAUAGGAACUGACAGCCUCUUCUUAGUAUCAGUCUCUCUGAGGAUCUUGGAGAACUCUGCCAUUUUCUAGGACAAGCAAAAGCAAAGCAAAUGAAAUGGGUUUCUUCUUUGCUUGUGGGAGCUUUCCUUUUACUUAUUUAUAGGGUUCGAAUAAUAUAUUAUAUCCCUAAAGGGAAUAUUGGCUUUUCUUUCAUUGUCUUGUCUUUACAGGUUCGAGAUCGCGCGAUGUGGUGUGGAGAUCGCGCGAUCUCAAAGUCACAUCGUUCGAUUCCCACAUCGUGCGAUCUCCAAACCACAUCGCGCGAUCUCCAACAUGUAAAGGCAACGGCUUGGACUCUGAAUUCAUGUCUCGCCAUUAUAUUAAAAAAAAUACUAAUAAAAGAUAGAAUUUUAACCAAAAAUCGAUUAUUAAUUACAACCAUUUAGCUUUCGAACGCAUAUUAUCUAUAACUAGUACAUAGUUUAAUGACAAAACUUAGAUUAAUUGACAUAUAUAUAUAAUACUUUAUAAUAUAGUAUUUAUCUCUUUCUCAAACACUCACGCACAUUCAUGUCUUAACAUGUUAAACUCUAAUUCUCCUUUGACCGUUCUAUAAGCUUUGAUUUGAUUUUCUUCGGUCAACAAACAUGGAAUAUCUCUUGGAAAAACAUCGCACGACACAGCUGAAAAAGAACCCCACAUCGCGCGAUUCCCAUGUAUCUUAGUGAAGCCGCUGCAUCCGAGUCAACACUUGUUGACCAUCAAGUGCCACUCGCUGUAAAUAUAUAUAAAAAAAUAAUCUAAAUUAUAUAUUAAAACUCAUUUAAUAAUUUAAAUUUUUAUAUUAAGAUAGUUUUUUAAUAUGAUAUCAGAGCCUUGUUGACCAAGUAGAUAAGAUCAAUUCAAUAACUUAAACUAUUCGAUAAGGUUCUAAGGCUUCGUUUGUUUGCUGGAAAGUAGUUUUUUUUUGGAAAGUGAAUUCCAGGAAAAGCGAAUUCCAAAAAAAUGAAUUCCUUGAAAGUAUUUUUCGAUGUUUGAUAGUGUAAUGAAAAAUAAGUUGGAAAACACUUUCCAGUGUUUGGUUAUGUUAUGGAAAAUGAGCUGGAAAAUAACUUAUUAAUAUUUUAUUUUUCUCAAAUUUAUUAAAAUAAUGAGGAACAAAUCUUAAAAAUUAAAAAGUUGAAUGAGAAUGAAAUUGAAAAAAAAAUAUAAUUUCAUAAAUUAUCUCAAAUAAAAUAAAUAAUAAUCAAAAUAAUAGAGAUCAAAUCUAAAAAAUUAAAACAAAAAUGAAAGAUGAAGAAAUUAAAAUAAUAAUAAUCAACAUUUCAUAAAUUAUUUCAAAUAAAAUAAGUAACAAUCAAAAGAAUGAAUACCAAAUUUGAUAGAUAAAAAAUUUCAAUAAAAAAAUGAUAAGAAAAAAGCAAAUAGCAAUUAUAAAAAUAAGGAUCAAAGUUAAUAUAAAAAUAAAAUUUUAAGAGAUGAAAUUGAAAAAUAAAUAUUCAAAAUAAAAUAUAUAUAGCAAUCAAAAGUUUGAGGAUCAAAUUUGAUAUAAUUAGCAAAUAAUGAUAUUUUAAAAUUUUUCAUAACUUCCCGAAAGUGUUUUCCCCCCAAAUUUUUCAGGAAAACACUUUCCUGAAAACUAAGCCAAAUUUUUCUUUUACUGGAGAGUGUUUUCCAUUGACUAACUUUCCUACUGACAAACAAGCACAAGAAAGUUUGGAAAGUGAUUUCCCAGAAACCACUUUCCAGAAAACAAACAUAGCUAAAGGGAAAACACUUUCCUGAAAACGAAGUCAAAUUUUUCUUUGACUAAAAUUGACUGGAAAGUGUUUUUCGUUGACCAACUUUUCUAAUGACAAACAAACACAAGAAAGUUUGGAAAAUGGUUUCCCGGAAACUACUUUCCGGGAAACAAACAUGGCCUUCAUUUGUUUGCAGGAAAGUGAAUUCCUUUUGGAAAGUGAAUUCCGGGGAAAGUGAAUUCCAGGAAAGUAUUUUCCGAUGUUUGGUAGUGUUAUGAAAAAUGAACUGGAAAACACUUUCCAGUGUUUGGUUGUAUUAUGGAAAAUGAACUGGAAAAUAAUUUAUUAAUGAAUUAAUUUUUUUUUCAAAUUUAUCUAAUAUAUAUAAAAUAUUUAAUAUAAAAUAUUUAAUCACUUACAAUAAAAAAAUGAAAUCUAAAAUGUAUAAUGAUGAAUUUUUUUUUAUUAUAUCCUAUAUUCAUACAUAGCUUAUUUUAUAAAAUAUAACUAUAUAUAUCAUAUCAUAUUAUAGAGAAAUAACCUUGUGAAAUAUUUUUUAUUAUUCCAUGAAACCAUUUAUAAUUCCAUUACGUACGAAAUACAUCCGACAAAAAAUAUAGUUUUAAUAAUAUUUUUAGCAUGUAAUAAAAUUGGAUAAAAUAUUAAGGUAUAAAAUUCACUCUAAACUAGUUUUUUUUUUAAUGUUAAAAAAAUAGCACACUUAGAAAAAAAAAAAAAAAAAAAAGGUUCCCGCAUGCAAGUGAACAGUGCAAGAGAAUUGCACUGUUCACUAUUUUUCAGUUAACAAUAUACGCAAUACACUGUUCAUGUUAGACCCACCUCUAGCCACUGUCUUUAUGAACGGAAAAAAACGAAAAAGUGUUUUCCUUUCUUUAACAAAGAAAAACACUUUCCUUUAGCAAUGUUAUAAUAUUUUCAUUGACUGAAUUCAUUUUUCUUUGAGUAUUUUUUCUUGUUGUCACCAAAUAUUGGAAAAGCAGGAAAGUGAAUUCCAGGAAUUCACUUUCCUGCAAUCAAACACGGCUAUAACACACCUUUUCAAGUGAAAGCUCUUUUAGGUUUGAAAUUUACAUAGAUCAACACUACCAUAUUCUUGAUUUUUAUUAAAUAAAUAGAGCUAAUAAGAUUCGAACUCGUGACUAUUUGAUCAUUAAAGCUAUAAUAUUAUGUCAAAAAACCAUCUCAACCCAAUAGCCUAGCUGUUAAAUAAAGUUUAAGAUAUAAUUUAUAUUAUUUUCUAACAUAUUUCAUAUAUUUUAAAUAAAAAAAAUUAUCAAAAAAAAAUAUAAUGAAAAGAGAGGCUAGAGUCACCUCAAAACCCCUAUUACACAAAAUGAAUUGAUUUUACAAAGUUACAUGACGCAGUAUAUAGAAAAAUAUAUGAGAUAAGGGUUUCUUAAGUUUUAAAUUAUAUCCCUAAACUCUCUCUAUAUAUAAACUUUGAUUGUAUAAAUUUUGAAUGCCUAUAAUAUGAAAUCUAAUAAUUUAUUCUGAAAAAAUAAUGAAAACCAGCCAAGUUAAUAAAACAUAAAUCAAAUAAAAUUUUGAAGUUUAGUAAAAAUUGAAUAAGAAAAAAAAUAAAAAUAAAAUAUUUUUUAAAUUUAAUUUAGAUAUAAAAAUGAUUUCAUUUUGAUUAUAGUAAAUUGUUUCAUUAUAGAACUGGACAUGUAGAAUUUAUUGACAAAGUUUUAGUUUGAUGGAUGUAUUUGGGAUCAUGAUAGAUAUUGCAAUUUAAGGUGUUUUUUUUUAGAAAUACAUUAAAAUAUAUAUAUUUAAAAAUAUAUAUAUAUAUAUAUAUAUUAAAAAUCAGAUGUCAAAACCAUCUAAAUAUAUAUAAAAAAAUUUUAAUUUUUUUUUGAUCAAACAGUGUCUUAACUAUACUGUCGAUCUCCCCUUAACAAUUCAAUUAAAAACGAUUUUCGUACACACUUAAGUCCCUGAUCUCUUCUCUCAUCGGCAUAUUUAUUUUCUUUGUUUUCGCAUGACAGAUGAAAAAAACAACAUGAAAGAGAAUACUCAUCGUGCGAAAUCGCACGAUAAGGCCCUGUACGAGAUAUUUCAUGUAUCUUAGCUUUUUGUGUUUUAUUUUUUUGUAUUUAUAACUGUGUUAAGAUAUAUUUUAAAGAGGGCUUCGUGGACAUAUCUUAUAACAGAUUGCAAUUUCUUCGGGCAUCUAUCAUGUGAUUUAUUCUAGUAAUGCAAUUUAAAAUUUUACUUUAACCAUGUUUGGGAUUAUAGAUUUUUUUAAAAAAUUAACUCAUUGAUGAGAUGGAGUUUAAUAAUUAUUAAGACAUGGCGUAAAUAAUUUUCAAUAAAAAUUAACUCAUUGAUAAUUAUAUGAAUCAGGAUGGAAUUAUCUUCAGAAUUUUUCUUUUUGUAUGUGAACAUGAACAUUUCUGGGCACAUGGUAGUGGAAAAAGGAAGGGCCACUUGUGAUUCCUAGGAGCCAUCUUGAUGACGACAAGUCAAAACACAUGAGAAUCUUUUGUUGGAUGGGACCCUCUAGUGACGGAUUGGUAGCUUAAGUUGCUUAAUACGCAAGGGUCAUGAGGCAUAUUUUUCAAUAAAUUUUACGGUUUUAUAUAUUAUUUUGGGAUUGUAAAGAAUAUAUAAAUAUUUUUAUAUCAAAAUACAAUUUAUGUCGCAGUGUGAUUACUCUUACUUUUUAAAUAAUUUUUUAUAUUAAAAUAUAUGUUAUUGAUAUUUUUUAUUUUUUAAAAAUUAUUUUUGAUAUUGACAUAUCAAAAUAAUUUGAAAACAUCUAAAAAAUAUUAAUUUAAAAUUAAUAAAAAAAAUUAAACUUUUUUUAAAAUACUUUUAAAACACAGGUGAACCUAAACUCCAUGGAAUCUAUUAUAAAAUGUAAUUAUUAUUAUUUUUUGUUAUUAACUUAGAUAUCCAGUCAGCUUGUGCACACUUCGACUGAUCGUAUGAGUCCUUAAAUUAAUGACCAUGUAAAUUUUCAGUGACCUUGAAAUUUGUGAGACUCAAACUAGCGACUUCUAAAAUUCAAACUCAUAAUCUAAUCAGUUCAAUUACAUCUUUAAUAUUUUUUUUUUCAUAUACUAUUGGGGGAUGCUGAGGGCAAAAUAUAAUUGUUAUCUAAUCCAAACACGCGUGUCGUGAGUAUCUUAUUGGGAUUGUAUUAUAAAUAGAAUUUGUUUAAAAUUUAAAUUUUUUUAAAAAUAAAUUGUUUUAUUGUGAUAAUAUCAAAAAUAACUUUUAAAAACUAAAAAAAUAUUAUUUUAAUAUAUUUUUAAAUAAAAAAAUAUUUUAAAAAAUAAUUAUUAUUACACAUAUUAAGUUAUUCUAAUAAAUAUGUUAAAAUUAUAUUUAUCUAGUAGCUUUUUAUUAUAACUCCACAAAUAAGUUUAUUGGGUUUUGGAAACCAUGUUCUACCUAACAGCAAGAGCUCUCAUUAAUUCCGUGUCGAAGGGAAACUUGACUCACCAACAAAACGCGAUAACCAAUACAAACAAGCCACAUCACCUGUUUUGCAAAAAGAGAAGACGUGACAUCUAUUUUUUAUCCAAACUCGAAGUAUAAAUUUGGAAUGAACACGCGAGUCUCAAGAGUUUGAGCAUUAUUAAAAAUCUAAAAUGAAAGUGAAAAAAGAGGCAGACAAAAAGGUUCCUUUCAACGUUAAAAAAAGAUGAUGUGACAUCUAUUUUUUUUAGUUUAAAGUAUAAUUAUUAAAAAUGGCUAGAGCCAGCUCGGCCUUUCAGAAUCUUUAUAUCCCAAUUCUGUAUUUCUAUCAUUGACGAGGUAUUUACAUUUUCGACAAGAAUACAUGUAUUUUUUUUUUAUGGGUAAGGGCACAGGCGGAGGCAUGGUAAAGGCUGAGGUAGGCUUUAGCCCAGGUCAAGAUUUUAUCAAUAUUUUUAAUUAGUUUUAUGUAAAAAAAAUUUAUAAUUCUUAAUUAAGUUAUCAAAAAAAUCUGAAAAUUUGCGUGGAGCCUUCUAAUAUGAUGUUUUAGCUUAGGUUAAAAUUUUAAAAAUUUUGAAGAAAUUUAGAAAUUUGAUGAAAAAUCACAAUUUGAUCAAUUUUACGUUAUUGGACGUAAUUUUCAAUCCGACCAUCAGAUGAAGUUGAAAAUUUACGAGUGAUCUUAAAAUAUAUUGAAUAAAAUCUAGUUAAGAUUUUAGGAUGAACGGAACUUGAUAGUGCUAACAAAAAAAAGGAUCGUCAAAUAAAAGCAAAAUGACUCAUUAAGAGUUCAAUGGUUAUUUGCCAUUAAAAAAUAAAAUAAAUCAGCUCUUCCUUCCUUUUAUAUGUUGCCAACUGAGCAGAAUCUGAAUAGAAUAAGAAAGAAAAGAAAAGGUGAGAGAAAAAUAGAAAAAAAUAAGAGAAAAACAUAAAAAAAUUCCUAGAAAAAAAAUAAGAAGUAAGAGAACAACCUUGUAAACUUACAAAGUUCAACUUAUAAAACAUUAAUCUAGGGAAGAAUCAAGUGAAGAAAGAAGAAAUUAAAAGAGAGAAAAAAAUUAAUUACUUUGUUUUCCAGUUGACAUGAGAUUGUUAUUUUAUCUCGGUUGAGGGGUUAUUACAAUAUCGAUUCAGAUUCGAUUAUAGAUGAAUUAUAUUCCACAAAACAUUGAAGGAUGUAACUUUAAUACUGAUUUUAUUUUUACUUUCACUUUAAUUUUAUUUAUUUUUUUAUAUUUUGGAUAGUGUAUUUAAAUUAAAACUUUAUUAUUAAUUUCAAAAAUUCAUGUACAUAAAUUAACAAUCAAUCUUAAAAAUAUUUAUAUAUUUAUUUAGUAGCCCAGAACAAAAACAAUUUCUGGCUCCGCCGUUGGGUAAGGGAUAUCAAUUGAUGAACUAAUGCAUUCAGAAAUAACAUACAAAAUCUUUAAAAGAAAUAUAAAAAAAAAUCUAAUUUAUAAUUUUAUCAUUGUUUAUUUCUUUUUGCUUUUAAAAGAGGUUUAACUCCUUAAAUAAACCUAAAAAAAAACUUAAAUAAACUAUGAAACUUGAAAAUAAAAAAAGCAAUAAAAAUCAUAAACAAAUUAGAAAAAAUAAAAUUAUAAAAUAUAAUAUUUAUUUACCUAAACUUAAAAAUAAAAAUAAUUAGAAAAAAAUAAUUUCACUAAAAAAACUUAAACAGACAAUAAAAAAAAUAAAAUUUUUUAUUACAAGUUAAAAUCCAUGAAAACCAAGAAUACCAUUACGAGGAGACUCUAAAAAUACACAAUUUUAUUAAUUCCAUGUCUCAAUACUAUUACGAGUUUACGACACUUUAUAUAUAUAAAAAAAAACCCGUAGAAAACCUGUUAAUAUUGAAUAAAAAAAUAAAGUAAAAAACCCCAACCCCUUCAAACAAGAAAACAAAACUCGUGCAUCAUUAAUUUUUUUUAUUAUUAGACCAUCAUUUCCAAAUUUAUAUAUAUCAUGAACAACUCAAAUGAUGGCAUUUUCUAAUAAAUUAAGGCUAAUAACGCUCAGAUUUCUUUAAUGAUCGCUCUAAAAUCAUCUUCUUCAAUUUUUCUGGAUGUGUUAUUACAUGUUUCUGAAAGAGCUGGCCCCGAGCUGAUUUAUGACGACAUACCUAUGCAGCAUACAUAGAACUACAAUACAAUGAACUCAUACCAUUCCAUGGACAAAUCAAGGAAAAACCCAGAGCCUGCAGAAACCAAGCAACAUGAUAAAAUCAGGCCUCGUCUUUGUUGAUGAAAGAAGCGAUUCUCUUAAGCAAAGCCACAGCAUUCUCGCAGGUAGGAUCGUUCAAAUGAAACACAUGUUCAUCGUCUUUGCCCUCCAUAAUCUCCGCCGCACCUUCCCACCCACCCUUGCUUAACCUCUCAUAAUAGUGCCAUCCUCUUUCCCUCAAGAAAUCCUUCCCGCCAAUAAUAACAAGCAGCCUGUCGCCCCCCAGGCUAUCCAAUCUUGGAUCAACAAGUGGAUCAAUCAGAGGGUCAUCCAGGCCACUUGAUGUAGGGCAUACAAAAUUCCAUAUAGCAUCGACCCUCGAUCUUGAUUCCAAAUUCUCACCCUCUGUACCGAUGGGUUCUUUGCCCCAGAAAUAUGGAUGUACUAAGAUAACACCUGUGAGGUCAAUACCAGACAGUUUUUCUUGACCGUACCUCAUAGCAGCUUGGUGUGCUAGGUUAGCACCAGCACUAUCUCCGGCAAGAAAAACCCGACCGAAAUCAGCUUGAGAGUUUAGCCACUCCUCAGGGCCGUCUCCGUUGACAUGAGAGGCAACCCAUUUAAGUGCUGUCCAUGAAUCGUCAUAUGCAAUGGGAAGAGGGUGCUCCGGGGCCAAUCUAUAAUCAACAGAGAUUGCUAUAACGUUGGACACCGCAACUAGAUUGUUAAGGUGAUCAUGGUAACGAAAAUUGAAGGGGCUUUCAAUGCAAAAGCCACCGCCAUGAUAGUAAACUAGGACUGGGAGUUUUUUAUCAGGGUUGGUGUUAUGUGGUCGGUAAAGUCUAGAAGAGAGAUUUAACUCCGGUGAAUAGACUGCAUCUUUAGACAGGACGUUUGUUUUGGGGUCUACUCCAGAAGGGACGAUGUCGGUGCCGCUGAGUCUCUCUACGUGGCCAUCUUUGUAAAUGCGAAGGAAGGGAGAGUAAUCGUAGGCAACUUCAGGUAUGGUUGAAUCCAUGGAAAGACGGGAACGAAUCAAAAAAGGGUAGUUCUUGCUUGUUGUGGAUCUAUACGAGAGGAGAGGACGGGAAGAAGCAAACGGCUGAAAACCACUUGUUAGAGAAGGGCAAAGGGAUAAGGAGAUGCACAUGAUUGGUCAGGAAUUGUAUGAGAGAGGGAGCCCUCGAUUAUUGCGCUUUUAUAAAUAAGGAUAGACGUUGCAGGUGUUUCGGAUUUCUUUUGCUAUAUGGUUUUUUUAUUUAAUAAAAUAAAUUGUAAGAUACAUGAAGCUCUAAUAAACAACUAAAAAGAGAAGCUAUCUUUUUUAUAAUAAUAAAAAAAUGAACAUGUAUAUAAAUAUUUUUUAUAAAAUAAAUUUUUUUUUUUUUGAAAAAAUCCAAGGAAUGAAAUAAGACAUAGUAAAAAGUAUCCAUUAUACUAGUAAGAGUAUUCGAGUCCAAACAAAGAAAUCUAACGCAUCGUCCCAUCCCAUUGUAUUAUAUUUUUUUUCUAUAUAAUACAUCACAUUACAUUAAGAAAAUAUAUAAAAAAAAUAUUGAAGCAUUAACCUAUAAACAUCACAAAUUGAAAAUUUACUAUUAUUUUUUUUUAUUUUUAAUUAUUUUUUACAUUUUAAAAUUAUUUUAAUAUUGAAAAUAUUUUUUUAAAAAAAAUUAUUUCAAUAUAUUUCUAAUUAAAAAUAUUUUUUUUAAAAAAAUUAUUUCAAUAUAUUUCUAAUUAAAAAUAUUUUAUAAAGUAACUGCUAUUAAUAAAUUAGCUACGAAUCUUUCCACAGUGGACUAGUCAUUACUACCUAGAUGCAUUUGAGUGUUUUGGGUUUGUAGCAAAGUUAUAUAAAAAAAAUUAAUAAUAAAAAAAAUGUAUUUAUAAAAUACAUAAUUAAUCAAGUCGUCUGCCACACUUUUAAGUAAAACAAUUAAUUAAAGAGUUUAGGAGCCAUGGUGCCACCUCUCUCUCUCUCACACACACAUUUAUGGUGCUAGACAGCUCAACCUCCCGUGUUUAAAAUAUGGAUCAGCCCGCAAAGGCCCCAACCUCUUCCACUAAGCAACUGACCACGUGCCACUCCAGUACAAGCCGCUGGUUAGUAAAAGGUGACUUCGACUUGCAAGGAAAGUUAAUAGAUGCAUCAUUCCCUCAUUUAUUAUAGAUAUCAAAUCCGACGUGGCUAAGUAUAUUCCUAGCUUAUUUAGAAUUGCGAUUUGCGAUGAUAGUAAUAAUUUAAAAUAUUUUUUUAUUUAAAAAUAUAUUAAAAUAUUUUUUUAUUUUAAAAAAAUUAUUUUUUAUAUUAACAUAUCAAAACAAACUAAAAUCAUAAUAAAGAUAUCCAGUGCCUCCAAGCGAGAGGAGAAGGGGAAAUGUUCAAAUUUAUUCUUUUCAAUUUAUCUUAUUUUUUAGCUUUAAUCUCUUAAAAAUAAUAUUGAAUUUCAAUUAAUUAAAUCAUAAAAUCCUUCAAAUAUAUCAUUUUAUACUCUCCAAUGAAAAAACUCACAUUUAAUUGAAUAAAAUAUAUAAGUUAAGCUAUCGAGUUAAUCCUUGUAUAUGUAAUAUAUAUGCAUUCCAUUUUCAUUCUUUAAUCUAUGUGAAAUUUGUUGCACACAAACACAUUCAUAUCCCAACAUCGCACAGUCAAGACUCUGAAUUGAUGUGACCAUUAAUUUUUUUUUUAAAAAAAAAAACUAAUAAAACAUCGAAUUUUACCAAAAAUCAAUUACACAAUUUACUUAGGGAGUGUUUGGCUUUGCGUUUCAACCUGUGUUUCGUCAAAUUUCAAAUUUUGUUUUUUUUUUUUGCUAUAAUUGAGUGCGGUUUGUACUUUUUGGAUCGUUUUGAUGUGCUGAUAUCAAAAAUAAUUUUUAAAAAAUAAAAAAAACAUCAUUGGCAUGCUUUUCGGCACGAAAAGCUAUUUGAAAAGCAACCGCUACCACACUGUCAAACACGCUAUUAAUAAAGGUUUCUCCCGGUGGUGUCUUGAGUAUUGAAGAUAUGCAUGCUGCGCUGUUUUUUUUUUUUGUCUAAUUAUAGUUAUAAAGAGAGAAUUAUUUGAUUAGGUAAAAAAAAAAAAUUCUUUAUACUAGUGUCCAUAUAUCAUUAUGUUUUAAAUUUAAUUUUAUAGAAGCUAGAAUUAUUUAUUUAUUUAUUUUAUAUAAAAAAUUUAUCUCACAAUAAUUUAAAUAAUAUAUAUAUAAUUUUCAUUUUAAAACUGCAACUAAUUUUUUUUUUUAAACCGUAAGUGUAUCAUUAUUGUUCUUUAACACACAUUAUCUUUAGCUUUCAAACGCAUAACUAGUACAUAGUUUAAUGAUAAAAAAUUAGAUUAAUUGCUAUUUUUCGUACUGAUAGAUGCUAACUAGGCCGAGCCAAUUUUUGCUUUUUAUAUAGAAAAACUAGUGAAAUGUUGUUGUUCAUGUAAUUAAAUUACAUAAAAUGAUUUGAUUUUACAAAGUUUAUGUGUAACGCAAUAAUAUAUCAAUGUGUUAUUUACCUAAAAAUUAUGUUUAAAAUAAGGAAAUAAAGAUUGAGUGAUAAUUCAAUAUCAUUAAACCUAGCCAAGUAUUGAGUUUAAGUAUACAUGACUCUAGCAAACAAUUAUAUCUAGUUUUUUUUUGCUCAACUAAGUGUUGAGCCCAAGUAUAUAUAAGUAUGACGAGCUACCAAAUCUAGUAUUCUUUUGAGCCCAAGUAUAUAUGGGUUUGACGAGAUCCUAUACCCAGCAUCUUUAAGCUCAGCCAAGCGUUGAGCCCAGGCAUGCAUAGGUUAAUUUGAUUAGCCACCACAUCCAAAUAUUUUUAGGCUCAUUCAAGUGUUGAGCCCAAGCAUACAUGAGUCUGGCAAAUUACUAGACCCCGCUUCCUUGAGCUCAACUAAACGCUAAUCCUAAACAUGUAUGGUUUUGGCAAACUACCAAACCUAACAUUCUUGGGCUUAGCAAAUUGUUGAACCUAAGUAAAUGUGGCUCUAACAAUCCUAUAAUGUUUCGUAUUGAAUCACGAGAUUCUGAUAAGCCAAAGAUCUUUUUCCAUGUGAUGAGUCAUGGAUAUUUUUUCUCUAAUGAGUUAGAGAUCUUUUACCCUCUGAUAAGUUAGAGAUCUUUUCCCCCCUUUAACACAUAAAAAAAUAUUUUAAUACUAUCAGAAAAGAAGGACUUUGAGGUCCUCCCCUCGAUAAAAAAAUAAAAAUCAUGAGCUAUAAAGAUCUAUUGAAUCUUAAGAAAAAAAGAAUCAUUCUUUUUCUAGCUGGUAGAAUUUUUAACAUAUAUACUUUCAUAUUCUAUCUCUCUAAUAGAUUUAGGCUUUUUCUCUAAAAAAAUAUAUUUAAAUACCAGAGAAUCUCUAAAUCUAUAUAUAGAAAUAUAUUUUAUAGGUAUCAGUAACUGAUCACUUUGCCUUACCAGACAUCAGAUAUCAGCUACUAGUCACCUUGGUCAGAGAGAAGGAAUCAGAUUAUUAAAAGUAAGAAAUUAACUGAUUAUCCAACAUAUAAGCCUUACUAUUAAGCUACUUGAAUUUUCUAAUAUCUCAUUAAUUGACAUUGUCUGUGAAAACUAAUAAAAAAAAACAUCAAUUAUUAUUAUUUGACAAUUGAUUUAUUGGCAUCCUUAAUUAUUGGUAAAAAUAGAAAAUCAAAACACUUUUGUGAUGGGCCAUAUCAUAAUGGAAAGUAAUACUAUCACUAUUAUUUCACAAUUGGUCAUGUCACUUCAAAAACUUCAAAAAUAGAAAAUUAAAAAUCCAAGGAAUGAAACUCAACUGAUUAGAUUCUAGAUUUGUUUUCUAGAGGUUACCAGUUCGAGUCCCACAAACCUCAGAGCCACUGGAGGCUUACAUGAUCUUUAAUUUUAGGACUCGUAAAAUUAAUUGAGAUAAUCACAAACUGAUCUACAUUUUAAAAAAUAUAAAUCAAAACACUUUUGUAAUGACCAUAUCUAUAGUUAUUGACACAUUACCCCACACAAAGUAACUAUCACCCUUAUUCUUUUCUUCUUCUUUUUUUUUUUUUUUUUUUUUUCCUGGGCCACCCAAUCCAACAAACUAAAAUAGAGUACAUCAAACUUAACAUAACUCUUUCCUAGUUAUCGCCGUAGUUUAUUUCAAUCCAAAGGUUACCCAUGAACCAGUUCUUAACCGUACAUAUAGCUGGAUUUAAGAUCAAAGAGGUAAGAAAAUACAAAUUACUAGCACAAAGCUUUUAGGUUGUUUACUUUCCCACGCCCAAAAAAUUUCACCUAGAUCUGAUCUUCAAUUGGAAAAGAGAAAUCAAUUGAGGGUUUUCUUAGGGGAGACAAAUUAUGUUUAAAGAGAGAUUUGUAGUAUUUGUAUUAUAUUAUAUAUGAGGAAAAUUUUAUAUUUUCAUUUAACAUAACUAAUAAGUCAAUUAAAUCUCGAGUAAAAUUAAAAAAGAGUUGAUCUUUAAAUUAUGAAUUUUUCAACUAAAUUCAUUAGACAUUCCGUAUUUAACAUCCUUGAGCAUAACAACCUAUAAUAAUAUAACUAGACACAUGACCUGCGCGAUGCCGUGAGUCCUUUUUUUUUGUAUAAAAAUAUUUAAAAAAACAAAAAUUUAAAAAUCUUGGGUUUUUUUACAAGGCCAUACCUAAGAAUCUUGGGUUUGGUUGCAACGCCUGACCUAAAAGUAAUAUUUAUAAUAUUAAUAAUAAAAUUAAACUUGCAUGACUAAAGUUUAAGUAAGCCUGACUGCAAUACCGAACCCAAGAAUAUUGGAUGUGGGUCUGGCUAUAAGGUCGUGUCAUAAAAGUAUAAUAAUUAAAUAGAUUAAUUAAAAAAAACAAAGAAAAAAAAUCAACAGGAAGGAAAAAACUAAUGAAGAAAAAGAAAAAAAAAUGAAUUAAUUGGGUUAACCCUUUAAACCAGGUUAUCCCGUAAAACCUGGGAUUCGCGUCAUGAAAGUUUGAUAACUAAAUAGAAAAAAAUGACGGGUUUACCCAGAAUUAACUGGGUUAACCCAUCAAACCAAGUUAACCCAUCAAGCCCAGGAUACGUGUCAUGAAAGUAUGAAAGUCUGAUAAUUAAAUAGAAAGAAAAUUAACUUUAACAAACUAAACUAAAUGAAAAAAAUAACUCGUCAAAUCAGGUUAACCCAUCAAACCCGAGAUCCGUAUCAUGAAAAUCUGAUAACUAAAUAAAAAAUUUAACAUUAACAAACUAAAUCAAACAAAAAAAUUUAAAAAGAAAAAAAAGCUAAUAUUGUAGUAAUUCAUAGUGUUUUUUUUUUUUUAAAAAAGCUACAAAGUUAAGUUCUCAACCAGAUCAAUAUAAAAAAAAACGACAAAGACUAUUUUUUUUUAUAAAAAAAAUCAAUUUUGGGUAAAAUAAAUGAAAAAAAACAUGUAAAUAAAAGGAAACAAAAGCGAAAAAAAAACACGUGGGGAAAGCUACAAUGUUUUAAAUAAACAAAAAAACUAAAUUUUCAACCAGUUUAAUAAUAAAAAAAAUCAACAAAAAUAAUUCUGAAAAAAAAUAUAUGUAAAAAUUGACAAUUUUAGAAAAAAAAAAAACAUGUGGGGAAAGCUAAAGUUAGAUUAUCAUUCAACUCAAUAUUGAAAAAAUAAAUUCGAUAAAGAUAAUUUUUUUAAAAAAUAUGUGGGGAAACACUGCAAUAAAACAAAAAUUAUGUAGGGAAAACAAUGUAACAAUCCAUAUUAUUUUUUAAAAAAAUUAUAAAGCUAAAUUCUCAACCAACUUAAUAUAAAAAAAACAAUGUAUAAGAAUAUUAUAGCAAUUCAUAAUGUUUUAAAGAAAAAAAUUACAUAAUUAAAUUUUUAAUCAGCUUAAUAUUUUAAAAAAAUUAGUAAAGAUAAUUUUAAAAAAUAAUAAUAAAAAAGAAAUGUAAAAAAAAAAAAACAAAAGCAAAACAAAAAACUGUUACAGUAAAAAAAACACUGCUACAGAAAAAAACAAAAGCAAAUAAUAAAAAAAAAACUGCUACAGCGUUUUAGAGUUCUUUAAUUAUUUUUUGGGAAACAACGAAAAGUGGCGUGGCGGAGAUAGGAGUGUGCACCGUACGCAAAACAUAAAAAAUAACAGGAGGUGAAAUGUAGGAGAUAUUCGGAAAAACAAAAGUUGACACGAGCCUCGCCCAGGGCUCCCAGGGCUCCGGAUUCCUUCACGCAUCUCUCACUCUCUUCUCUAUUUCUUCACACUUUCCUCUCCUUCCUUCUGCUAACUAACUCCUCUCUGAAUCAAAAAAUAUUCUUAGAGUUCUAACGGAUUGAUCGAUUGACGACGGCGACAACGACGGUGGCCGCAAUAUAUGGAGUCGGAUUAUGUCCUUUUUCUGAUAAUUUGUCGACGAUGAAACUGACGAAACGACGUGGUAAUGGUAGUAUCAUCGGUGCGAGAAGCAGUUUUUCUAGGAGAGAAGUAGGGACUGUGCUGGGGUGUUCGUCGCCGAGUAAGGCCGUGACACCGUUGGAAUCGGUAGGAGAUGGAAGGAUGUGUGAUUGAGGAGGAGGAGGAGAUGUUAUGAGGUUCAAGAUUUCUGAUUUUAAGGUGCUUGAUCGUGUCAGUAUUGGCCUUGGUGGCUGGGUAAGCCAGAAAACUCUACUUCAAUUUUUUUUAAAAUCUUUAUUUGUUAAAUAUUGUUAAUUUCGUUGUGAUUUUCGGUUAUUAACACUAAGGAUAGUGCUUAAUGUCCAAAAGUGAUUGUUCUUACUUCUUAGUACUGCUAAUUAUGCCAUGGAUAACUGAAUUGGGGUUUUUCUAGGCGGAUGAGGUGGUUUUUGAAGCAAUAGUGAAGGAUUCUAAUAGGUUAGCUUUCUUUUCUUAUUUGAUUUUUUGAUAUUGUGUGAUUAUUGGAGGUGAUGAGUAUAAUGUGGAAUUGCAGCCCUUUGUAUAACAUUAAAGUUGUGCUUAGGAAACUUGUCAGUACUCAAGCAAAACGUAGAGGAAUGCGAGCAAUAGAGGUUUGGGGCUUUGUUUUGCAGUUUUGUUUAUUUGGUAUUUGAGGUUUUGAAUAUUGGUGUAACUUUGGUGUUGUUGAAGUGUUUUUAGGUGAUGAAGAAGCUGGUUCGCCGUAAACUUAUGUACCAUUCUUAUUCGAUGCAAUUUCAUGGUUAUAUUUCUUCACCUUCUAGUGGCCGUGGUUCGUUUACUCUGGCACAUGGGGUAUGUUCUGUUUCUGUGUAAGGUUUUGAUAUUGCGUAUGCAUUAAAUGUUUCGUUGUGUGAAGCCCUGUUGGAGAUUUUAUGUUCUGUUUCUAGGACACCCCUGUUGGAGAUUUUCUGUUUUUAUUGGACAAACCUUCAUUUCUCUGCAUGUUGCGUGUGAAAGCAGUGCUUCCCAUGUUUCAAUUUUUCCAUUUGUGAGUUUAGCGAUGUGAAAGUUUAUCUCUUCCUUUUUAUUUUAUGGCAGUAUCAUGGUAGUUUUUCUUUGAGACAUUGGCUUCAACAAUCAGAUUGGCUUCCUACCUUGGAAGCCAAUCUUGCAUUGGAUGAGGAAUCUGUCAGGAGAAUGGGAGAUGACACGGUUGGAGGACCUGCUGUCUCUCGGCAGUUGCAAAUAACACAGUUUUUCUUUGAAACAUUGGCUUCAACAAUCAGAUUGGCUUCCUACCUUGGAAGCCAAUCUUGCAUUGGAUGAGGAAUCUGUCAGGAGGGUGGGAGAUGACACCGUUGGAGGACCUUCUGUCUCUCGCCAGUUGCAAAUAACACACAUUGAUGAGGGAUCUCUUGAUUGGAGUAUGUAUAUCUUAAUUGUAUUAUUGUAUUAUCUGUGCACAAACAGUUGCCAUUUGUUGUGCACAACAACAGUGUAGGGUGUUUGUUUUGCUUACUUAAGGUGAACUAAUUGCAGAGUCAUGGACUUUCGGUAUAGAGUUGAGGCUGGAGAAUGUGCAUAUAAGCCCAGUGGUUAGGCAUAUUAAAGUAAAUGCAGGCUUUCCCCCCUCUUAUGCUGUUUUUUUAAUUUUAGAUUCUCUGAAUUUAGAAUUAAAUUUGAUAUAUAUAGAAUAAGGAAAGAACUUCUUUAAGGAGAAGGGCAUUUGAGGAAACUCUUGUUGAUUUGUGCUUUCUGAUAUGACAACACUUGAUGCACAACAAUUUCAGUUUAUCUAUUGAAGUCAAAUUUUAUUUCUGGUAUUCUGCUUUGAAAGUUUGGUACCUCUUCAACCGCAUUGAAUAAUGGAAAUUUUGGUGGUUCUAGACUUAUGGUUGAGGAAAGGUUUAUUAGCACAAAUAUUGGGGAACGAAACAAGACAUGAAUAAAUCAGCACCAUUGAAUUAGUGCACCUCCCACACAUGGGUACAACUAUCCCACUGUUUUCAUCUCCAUAACUUCUGCUAUAAAGCACUGCUUCAUUGAUCAAGUUGUGUAACAUGUGGUUUCUUUCUUUAAUUGAUGGCUUACUUUGUGAAACUUCUGAAAUUCCAACUUUUCAGGUAGGGAUACUAGGGAAUGCUGCUGACUUUUAUGAGGAUGGUCCAAAUAGUAGCACACUGGACAACAACAUGGACAGACGGUGGACGAUGAUUGCAUUUGACAUGAGGCAUGCAUAAUAGAUAGACCUAAAAGUGUAUCCAGUUAGCGCUGCUAGCAGAGCUACUCAUGUACUGAAUUCUGUUUCAUCCCUAUUGAAAAGAUGUGUAGGAUUUAUGAUGGCAAAAAUGGUGCUGCGGGAGCUCAUGGAUCCAUUAAUUUUCAUAAAGUUCAAAUCAUUCCUCAUGAAGGUACAACAUGCUAGUCCCUUUUUUCUUCUUUUUUUCCUGUAAAGCUUUUGGAUUAAUCAAUCCAGAACCUGGUGCAUUUUUUGUUGACUUGAAUUCGUCUUUUGAUAAGCUCAAGUUUCUCUUCAUUAAUUUCUACCAGUUUCUUGAAGACCAGACAUUGGCAGUCACUUUAUUUGCUCAACAUGAAAAAAAAUCCUAUAGUAUCAUCAUGCAGUACUCAUCAUGUGUUGGUACCGAUCCUAAUUAGGAAGUUGUACUGGCAUAGUGAGUGUUAACUGUGUUACCAAAUUUCUCUUUUACGGAUGAGUGCAGGGAAAUGAUCCUUCGUGCUUGCAUGAAUUUUUAUUGCAAAUCCUCAGUAGGAAUUCUCCAUCUGGAAUGUUGGACUCCAAGUAAGUAGUGCGAAAGCAAAUUACCAUACUUUAAGCUACACCUUUCACAAUAUCUAUAAAGAUUGUGUUUCGUUUCUUCUAGAUACUAACUGUGGUGCCGGUUGGAACCUUUUAUCCUUGUUAUUGGCAACCAAACCUUCCCAAAGAAUAAGGUAUUCAUCAGUUCAUCUCUUAUUAGACAAUAGUAAAGACAACACGAGGCUAACCAUAUUGAAUGGAAUCUGAAUUAAUUUGAGAGAGAUGAGGCAUCUAUGAUGACUAUUUUGAUUUGCUUUGCAGUUGUUCGGGCAUCCAUUUCUAUGUGGACCAAGAUGGCGGGUGGCGCCAUCCAUGGAUAUCUUCAGAUGGGGUCUUGGCUCAACUGAAGUUCGAUUACGGAGGAAUACAUUUAUAAGCUGCCCCGGGUGCGUCUACAGUUAGCAUUUCUAAGUUCUCUAUUGCCAUUCAGAUGGAUUCAUCGGUUGUGACUCUUUCAAGCCAGUGCCUUGAGUGAUUAGCUGGAAAUUUUGAAAGUUUCAUGUUCUGAGCAUAGAGAAGCGCAACCAUGCAUCUUGAUCAUUUAUCAGAGGAUUUGUGAACCUAGAAAGUACCCUGUUUUUCUAGGGAAGCACAAGUAUGAGAUGCAACAACUAGUGUUACUAAUUAAUUUCCUGUUACUUGAAAGAUAUCUUAGUGUGCUUCAAUUUCUAUUCGUACUGCUAAAUCUUUGCAUGUAAACUCAUUAUAUAUCUGGUGUUGGUUUAUAGCUCGCAAUGGCAUUACAUUGACGAUGUAAACUGAUAGCGUAGUAGGCUUUCCAAUUUUAUCGAAUUGAUGGAGAUGUUGAGUUCUCAUUCAAGGCCAAAUGUUAGUAAUUAUCCGAACAACUUGUUCGUAG
rnacentral:lncRNA from 1 species